AUAAAAAAAAAAAGUAUAUUUACGAGAAAAAAAAGAAGAGAGUUUGACUACGGGGUGAAGGGAUUCUUAUAACACGGCGUCCAAUUUAGCGAUCAACGUUCACAUUCACUACUAGUUUUACAUUGCUGGCUUUAAAGAGUUUGGAGUCUGAGUUAUACAAUUUCUCAAUUGUUAACGAAUUGAGAAAUUUGCACACGGAAGGUUUGGUCAACGAAGACUGAAAACGUUGAGUCAGCUCCUAAAGAUAUAUCAAAGAUUCUGUGGUGACUGAUGACACAAUUAUAACAAUUUAAGGAUAAGGAUUACUACCUUGGAUGGAAGAGGUGCAUUGUUGUUGUGCCUUGCUAAUUAUGUAAAUUGUAAUUUUUAUGUACCUUUUUAAAAUAAAACGGAGAAUAUAUAUAAGUGGGAAUAUUGAAGAUAAUACUAGUUCUUUAUUAACCAAAUAUAUCACGUUGACUAGAAAUAUAGGAGUUGAUGUUUUGUUUUUGAUGUCAACGUCAAUUUUUUUUUUUCUAUAAACAAAAUUCGUAAAACGCAUAAUUUUUGCCUUAAGAGUCGUGAAUCGUGAUGGACUCGACCACUGCGUAUAACUUAAAACUGAAUUAUGUAAAUACAACGUUUUUCGAAUUAAGGUGUAAUGGAUGGUGGUGUGUCUACAUAUUAUUAUUCUUUGAUGGUGGAUGUUAUUGGCUACACACGUUUACAGAAACAGUAAUACAAAUAAUAACCUUGCAUGACUAGUAAAAAAAAUACUUAUAGGCACUUGGCCGUCGCGAAAAUUCAUGGCUAUAACGUGAUUUUUUUUUCUAAAAAGCUACAAAUUUUUUAAGCUAUGACGCUAUAGUCACGAAUAUUAAGGCACAACCACGAAUAGUUAAGCGGCUAUAAAAAUUUUUUUACUAAAAUUAAUUGCGAAAAAUAAAUAUUUUGGUAACGUGACAAAAGAAUCUUAAAAAGCAUAAAAUUUUAUUGAAUUCCACGUUUGGUGGGAGGGAGAACCAUGAAUUUAGAAUGAAGGAAGCAUUGCAUAUGUAGGGGUUACAAUGAUAUGUAUUAUUAUGAGACUUGAAUUGGUCGCUUGGAAAGAGCAAGGGAUGUGAAAACGGAUAAAACGGCAAGAGACACGAAAGCCAAGAGAAGAAGACUGGCCGCUGCGUAUCCUUUACUGAAGAACUCAUCCACAGGAUCGGUCGAAUCAAACGAUAUAAAUGCUAGAAAUGUGUCUUUCAAAUCUUUGCUCACUCCAAAUCCAGCCGCCGAACCCGUUGCAAGUAAAUAUGAUAUUAUCUGUCCAAAUUUUCACGAAAACAUUAACAACAUUUCUUUUUUGAUUCAAAUCAAUGCGUAUGACCACUCUCAUAGUGAAUACAACUUAGCUAUAUAUAUAUACUAGAGAUAUAAAAUAGACCAAGUUAAGAUCUUAUCUACAAAAAUGAGUUGGGCAUCCUUAUUGGGGUAUCUUAGGAUGGUUUUAUGAUUUUUAUUACAUCAAGUAAAAUACCUUGUCACCGUAGAAAUCGAAUUGAUAAUUAAGAGGAUGUGUAGUCCCAGUGGCGAAUUGGGAGAUUGUCAAGAACAGUUGUACAAGGGCGUAUAGUAGUCCGAUGACCGCCGCAGACAGCAUGUAUCUUUAUAUACAGUUAAAAGAAAAAACGAAGUAAAAAAGAGUUAGUAAAAUUUCCAUUUUUUUGCCAGUAGUAAAAAUUUCCUUUUUAUAUGUUUAAGAAAAAGGAAUUGUCACAAGAUCCAAAACUGAUUCCGAAUAUAAAAACACAUGUAAAGAAAAGAAACUUGGAUUUGUUUACCUAUAAGCAUACACAUCGUUAAAACGCAAUUUUAUAGACGUUCUUGAAAUCUCGAGGGUGACGGUGUUGGUGCUGAUGAGGAUCACCGUUAUGAGGAGGAAAGCUGCCGUCAAAACCCUAAGGAGGAGGAGUACUGUCCUCAACGUAACAGACGGCGGUGAAGGAGGUGGUGGAGCCAUAUAUAUAUAUAUAUAAUUUUCCCGUUAAUAACAAGUUUCACUUUGAAGAGUAUAAAGAUGAAGAUGAUUAAGGUUGAGAUGUUCGAUUGUAAUGGUGACUUAUUUAUAGCCAAAAAUAAUACGUUGACUCGAGAUUGAAGAGUUGAUUUUUGUUAAAGUCAAUGCCAAACAAAAUAAUAUGGAUUACAAUCUUUAACUCUAUAAUAUAUGCACAGAUUGUAUUCUUCAAGUCGUGCUGUAACUUGCUGGAACUCAAUAACUUAGUUAUUGACAUGGUAUAGUCUUUUAUAAUUUUGAACCAGAUUUUUUUUCUUCGUCAGCCAAAUUUCACGGGUAAGCUUGUAGAAGCUCGUAGUUCCACUAGAACAAGACUAGCCAUUGGUACUAUCUUUAUUAGACCGUAGUAAAAAAGAUGUGCGAUUAGGGUAACUUGAUAUGCAUAUGAAAUCAUUAGAGUUCUAGUUACAAAACUCGAGUUAGACACCUAGUAGAGAUAAUUGAAAGCGUGUUUUUCCCAUCUAAAUAUGGACUUUAAUUUUAGUCGUCUAUCAUAUUUAGGUGCAGUCAUUAUGUAAUAAGAGUUGACUUUAAGUCGGCUACAUACAUGUAACAUGCCAGCCCACUGGUUUAAAAUGAAGUCCCAAAAGAAGAGGUUCCUGUAACAUUGCGUACAAGUUUUUGCAAUCAAAGAAAGCUCUUCCAAUUUUUUUCCUGUAAUUUCAUAUAGUCAACGAAGACUGGAAAGAUAUGAGUCAACUCCUAAUUAUCUUCGUAGCCACAUGCGUCGCCGCUUCCAGCGCCUACUUAACUUCUUCGCACAAUAUUUCUGGUUGUCUUGAUUUUUCAAGUAAAGAUUUACAUAAUUGAAANNNNNNNNNNNNNNNNNNNNNNNNNNNNNNNNNNNNNNNNNNNNNNNNNNNNNNNNNNNNNNNNNNNNNNNNNNNNNNNNNNNNNNNNNNNNNNNNNNUUUUUUUUUUUUUUUUUUUUGCUAAAGCAUUUUCUAAGAUUUGAAAACCUACACUAGCUAGAAACGACAAACAUUGUUUACAACCAUGGCCAUCUGAAAACCUUAUUCUAAGAUUUGUACGGGACUAUACAUAUAAACAUUUACAACCAUCAAUUUAAUUUAACAAUAUCUUGGAUUUGAUCCAACUUAAAAGCAUCUAAAGAAGCUUAAAUAGAGCUUGGGAAAAAGCUUAAACAGAACAAGUCUAUGAAAAAAUCUAACAUGAUUACAUGAAGGGAGAGUUUCAGUUUAGGCUUAACUGCUUAAGUACUCUACCUCACUUGCAUGCAUGGGCGUUAAUAAAUCCGUCUAUUCGUGCCAUNNNNNNNNNNUGGCCAAAAGAGAAAUACUUUUUUGAUCGAAUGGUUUGUGUGAUAACAUGACCGUGAGAGUGAAUAGAGAGUUGUGUGGUACUGUGGUCUACGUGCACGGUGCAUGUUUAGCCCCAUGCGAAACGAUGCGUUCAAAUGAAUGUUGAGCUCCCUACGCACCCUACCUCUACGUAGUGUCACUCUAAAUCUAUAACGCCUUGUUGUUUUUUGGGUGAUUUACGCUUUAACAUACUUUUAGUUGUGAAACUUGCAAAAAGACCUACUUUGAGUCCAUGCUAUACUUUUCUAGAGUUUUUUGUACGGAGAAACAAGUUUUCAGACAAUUUUACCCUUGUAAAACGAAAGGGAAAUGUCACCAAACCAAUAUGUCAUAUCUUUCUUCUUCUUAUUUUCUCUCUCCUUCAUCACUUUGUUUCUCUUUUAUUUGCAAAAAAAGAUAUUAGAUCUGGGUUCACUAUAUGUAAACUAAUCUAUCUGUUUGAUUGCAAUCUUUGAGAAAUAAGGAGGAAGAAGGCCAUGGUAGAAGCGAACUUAAUGCUAAUUUUGCUAGAUCUUUCGAGCCGUGUUUUGGUAUGGUCGGAGUACGGUAAUGAUGUGGCGGCUGCUCAAGCUAAGUGUUGCUUCACCACUCAUCGAAAAAUGAUGUGUCCAUAACACAAUGUACAUAUGGUUAUAACAUGGAGAAUUCCACAUUGCUCAGAAGACAUUUGCCACAUGAUCAAAACAAUGGAAAAUGUGUGUUAAAGUAUAAUUUUACGUGAAAUAACCCCAGCCACAUGCGCUUACUAGUAUUAUCCAAUUCUCUGAACAAGAACAAUUGGACAAGAACAAGAACAUGAAUGACAAUCCAUAAGUAGAUGUCUAUUGUUAUUACUUUUUUAUCUUGCGUUGUUAGUUAGUCAUCUACCAUACAAUCAUGUCCAUAUGGAUAUUUGAGUCAUAUGAUCAAACAGAAGAAAUGCAUAGCAAAACCUUAUCAAUUUAUUGUUGGGGUCAAUUGCAUUUAGUUUUGAGAUAUGGAGUUGAGCAUGAAUCACAUGUACAGAGUUUCAUGGAUACCUUUCUUCUCUUUCGUUGGAGGUUUGGUUUGUUACAAAUAAUAACCACAUGUACAUAGUUUCAUGGAUACCUCAGAAUAUACUCAUGUAUUCUGGAAAAAAUAGAGAAAUAUUUGCAGAAGAUAACAAAAACAUAUGAAUUAAUGUUAUAAACCUAAGGAGUGUCAGUAACUGAUGGAUAGAACACGAUCAAAGAGAAAACAAGGCUUCGAGAUGAUUGAUUAAACACAAGGAGCGUCAAAAACUUCUUUCACUAUUUCAGUGUUCCGUCGAGGUCGCCGUUAACACCCUCUCCUUCUUUUCCUCCGUCAAUCUCAGAUGAGGCUAACUGGAGAUAAAGAUCUAACCAAAUAAAAGACUAAAGUAUCGUAAGUAGAAGAGAUUUAGUAAGGGUUUUUUUUGUCAUUUCAUAGUGAAAAAGUAUAUGAGUAGCAAAAAGUAGGUAUAACUGAUAUUACUUUGUAAGAAAGUAGGUGUAGAUGCUAAUAUCUCUUGUUUUUUUGGUUUGUUACACUUUCUUCACCUCUUUGAUUAAAAAAAUUAUAUGAUUUUCUCACCUUAAUAAAAAAUAUUAUUAUUUAUGUGAUUUAGUUUUUAUUAGACGUGAAAAUGAAUUUAAUGAUUUUUUUUUUUGACAAGAGAUAUCUUAUUCCCUAUAAGUUAUAACUGAAAACAUCCCCAAAAAAGGUUUUCUCAGAAAAACACCAUGCUGUUCGGAAUUUACACAACAUAACGUCGUGUCGUUUCGACUGUCAGAAGCCGCAGAUCCAAACUGUUUACUUUUCCUCUACGAGAAAGCAAAGGUGUGAGAUUCGUUGACUCACACAAGACCGGAGAACGAAGCUAUGUCAGAGACCGCCGUUUCAAUUGACUGGGACCGAUCUAAGUCGGAGGAUGAAGAAGAAGAUUACGAUGAUGACGAAGAAGACUAUUCGUCUCCGGCGCAAUCAUCCCCGCGGCCACCACCGUCGGCGAAUUUCGAGAAAGAUCGACACUUGGUGUAUUUGGAGAUGAUGUACGAGUUGCUUCCAUACCAUUACCAAUCUCAGGAGAUCAACCGUCUCACCUUAGCUCACUUUUUAAUCUCGGGUCUUCACUUUCUCGGCGCAAGGGAUCGUGUUAGUCUCUCUGAUCUUCAACUAUCAAUAUUCAAUUUUGUGAACUUCAUUUGCAAAGUUUUGUGAUUUUUAACUUACUUGAUUUCGUUGGUUAAGGUUGACAAAGAUGUUGUUGCAAAGUGGGUUUUGUCCUUCCAGGCCCUGCCUAGUAACAGAGUUUCACUGAAAGAUGGUAUCUUUCUCGAAUUUAUCCACAAGCAUGUUUAUGAGCAAGUUCUGAGUUAGCAUGUGAUCAGUGAAUGAGUUGUUGUUCUUUUCUUUGUUUCUGCAGGAGAAUUUUAUGGUUUCUUUGGUUCAAGGAGUUCUCAGUUUCCCAAAGAUGAGAAUGAGGUAACAAAUAACAAGUCUAUAUUUUUUUUAAUGCUUUCCACAUUACAAGAUGUAGUGUUGAUUGUCUUUGUUUUUCAUCUGUGGAACAGGAUGUUUUAACUCACAACAGUAGUCACCUGGCAAGCACUUACUGUGCAUUGGCCAUUCUGAAGGUCACUGGACAUGAUCUCUCGACCAUUGACUCUGACUCAUUAUUGUUGUCCAUGAAAAACCUCCAACAGGAUGAUGGAAGGUAUUAGUUUUUCAAGCUUAAAAAGCACAAUGCUUUUGUAACUCCAUAAAUUUAUAACUUAUUUGCUUAGUUCGAAGUCUUUUGAGCUGGUAAUCUUUCCUUACUUGCCUCUGAAAAACUCCGGGAACCUUUGUUUGCAAUAUUCUCAUUUACAAGGUGCAACAAGUUUGGCUACUAUUGUGCAGUGGGUUCUAAAUUUGGUUAUUCGUUUUGCUACAGCUUCAUGCCUAUCCAUAUUGGAGGUGAAACAGAUCUUCGAUUUGUAUAUUGUGCUGGUAAGGAGUAGCUACAUAAGAGGAUUUAAUGUCUUUAUAUUUGGGGUAGAGGAUCAUUUUUGUUUCUUAUUUGUGUAUCAGCUGCAGUUUGUUACAUGCUGGAUAAUUGGAGUGGAAUGGACAAGGAGAAGGCUAAGAACUACAUAUUAAACUGUCAGGUUUAUUUCUGUUCUUAUAGUUGCUUUGUCUUUUCUUCCAUUGUUAUUUGUUAAUUUCUGUGUGAAGAAGACAUUCUUGUGAAACCUUCUUUUUGCAGUCAUAUGAUGGUGGUUUUGGAUUGAUCCCUGGUUCUGAAUCUCAUGGUGAGUUGAAAACAAUUCUUAUACAAUUUUACGGUUGAUUUUUUCGAUGUGCAAUCCAACUACGUAGCACAUAUGUGAAUGGGCUAGAAAUUGUUACUGAAUUGGUCUUGGAGCACACUGUAAAUAACUAAGCUGUUUCAUUUAGGUUUCUACUUCAAUGGCUACACAAAGAAAAAACCUUAACUAUAUUCUUAUGUUGUGAGGCGUUGGGGUUUACUUGUCCCCUCGUGUAUGAUGCUUACCUAUGUUCUGCAACUUAGUUAUGCAGGUGGUGCUACUUACUGUGCUGUUGCGUCCCUUCGGUUGAUGGGAUUUAUCGGAGUUGAUCUACUGUCAAGUGAUUCAUCCAGUUCAGUCAUAGACCCUUCAUUGCUCCUCAACUGGUGCCUACAGGUACUGCUUCAUAUAAUCUGUCUAAUUGACCUGAUAAUAUUAGCUUUGUUUUGUAAUGAUCCUGAGUUAUCUGAUGGUUUUCCUUACCUUGCCUAUAGAGACAAGCCAAUGAUGGUGGGUUUCAAGGUAGGACUAACAAGCCGAGUGACACAUGCUAUGCAUUUUGGUUAGUCCCCUCAAGUCCUCAACCUUAACUGUCACUGGUUCUAAACUGUUCUCAUCCACUUAUAACGCAUAUAUUUGUAGGAUUGGAGCUGUCCUUAGACUCAUAGGAGGCGAUGCAUUGAUUGACAAAAUUGCUCUGCGGAAUUUUUUACUGAAAUGUCAGUCCAAGGUAACUCUUCUUCAACGUCUCAUAUAUCUCAGUUGAAACUAAGCUUAUAGUUAUUUAGCAUUAAUACUGAUAGCAGCCUAUGGAGCCAAUAGGAUAAUAGUUUGGUAAAUUGUCUUUACUCAUGUGUUUACAAUUUCUAUUCAUCAUCUAUUACUGGUGAUAACAAUGUGAUUAACGUCGCCAUUGCUCUUGCAUGCUUGUGUGUCCAGUAUGGUGGAUUCAGUAAAUUCCCGGGACAGUUACCGGACCUGUAUCAUUCAUACUACGGUUACACUGCUUUUAGCCUCUUGGAGGAACCGAGCUUAAGUCCUCUGUGUCCAGAGCUAGGGUUACCUCUUCUUGCAGCCUCUGGAAUUUGAUGUUUAGAUUGCCUCAAAGUCACAUUCUUGAUUCUUUUAUCACCACAUUGUAACAUUUUACUCUGUUUCGGCAGUUCAUUCAUGUUGGAAUAUUCAAUUAUUGAUUAUUGGCUCUCAAUAUGGUAAUUUUAAUCUAACGAAAAUCAAAUUUCAUAGUUGAGUAUGAUUUUAUUUAAUUUCUUAGAAUUAGACAUAGGAAACAAAGGAUCAAAAAAAUUAAAAAAUCAUAAAUCUGUAGAAAUGUGUGAUUUGGCAAAGAAACAAAAAGACAAUUUAGAAGAGACAUAGUUUUUGCAGUUUCACUCUUGUGAACAAGUGAGUGGUGUUGUUGACGCCACUUGGAUGAAAAGCAUCAGACACAAACUGCAAAAAUUGGGACAAAAUACUAAAGGGAAAGAGAUUCCCCACUUGGUCCUUCGCGAGUCUUGUCUCUAUUCACAAAUCGUCUUAUUCCAAUUUACCGGUCGAUGUUCAAAGUUUCAUUGCCGUAAAAAAGAAAGAAUUAUUCAUACUGUGGUGGCGUUUCGAAGCAGCUGAUCUCGAAUAUAUCAAAUUUUAGAUUAGUAUAUUUAAUCUCUUUCACUUUUUUUUUUCUUUCUCUUCACGUGUUAUGUUUACCUUUCUAACUCCAUAUUCGAUACAAAAUAUUAAAGCUCGAUCAGAACUAAUCCCUUUUUAAAAGUGAAAAAGUCGGUUUAGGAUAAGAUGUGCUCAGUUCAUGCAUCUUUAAAUGUCAACCACAACACAACAGUAGUAGUGGUAAACUAUGCUAUAUAAAAGAACAUAGAAUCCAAAGCCAAUCUUCUUUAUUCGAAUGAGUUGACUGAAAUUACACAAGUUUGGCUUAAACAAAUUCUCUCUAUCAAUCGAAAAAUUUACAACCGGUUAACCCGAUGACAAACCAAAAACAUUCAGACCAAAAAAAAUGUUGAUGUUUAAUGACAAUGAUAUUAAAUCAGACCAAAAAGCCGGUUUAAUUCUACUUUGGUUUCUCUCUCAAAGACCUCAUCUUCUUGAUUGAACAAAUCCGAUUUCUUGAACUGUGUUUUGCCAAUUUGUAGCCCUUUGAGCUCACUCGGUUUCAGCAAUCUCCAUAGCUUUCUUCUUGUAAAGCUUCUCCUCUGCGUCUCUCAAGAACUUGAAUCUCGACAAUGGCGAAGAUGACGACGAUGAUGGUGAAUGUGAUGAUGACAAUGGCGAUGAUCUCACUAGCCUAUUAAACUCAGCAUCAGACGAAGUCUCGAAGAAGCUCGAGAUCUCUCCUUUUCUACUACCAUUACAAGAAUCCAUUAGUAAUGGAGUUAAAGGAGGCGUGAACAAGGAAGGAGAAGCACGAGGAGUAAGAUAUGGAGGAGUGAUGACACCACUUUCCAUAUUAAGAAACAAAUCAUUCAAACUCUUUCCUUUUGUGGAAACCACAUCUUCAGAUUCCAUUUCCUCCACUGUCUCCUCCAUGAUUGUGAACAGAAACCUCGGCACGAGCCCUGGACCACACACAGUCCCAAACCCAUCAUCAUGAGGAAGAGACUGCUGUUCGGUUUCAAUGGGCUUAGGGUUUGAGAAGGGAGAAGGAGAUGAAGAAGAAGAAGGGUUUGUGGUGCUACUGCAACAGAAGAUGAAGAGAAGCUCUCUGGUUCCAGGGGUAGAAUAGUCAUUCCGAAAAUCAGGUCUCGUCGCCGACCUCUUCUUGCACCAGAGCAAGUAAUAGAGCUCAGCGAGAAGAGCUAAUAGCAAACAACCAAAGACUAUGCUUAGAGCAAGUCCAACACUGCUCAAAGAUCUCAUCCUUCUUCUUCUUCAAGAUAAGAUUCACAUCUCUUACUCGUCAUUAAACCCCAAACACAAAGAGAAGGCCUUGUUUUCUAGAUUCGACCCAAAUGUGAAAUGUGGAAGGAACAGAAACUAUGGAGGCUUUGUCUAGAUAUGAUUCUUGGAAAAGAAGAGAAAGGGUUUUUGCAGAAACGAAACUUAGAUUUGAGUUGGGGAUGAAAGAAGAGCGGAGAAUGUGGAAAUAAAUAAUUUCCUAAAAUAGGUGUGUUAUAUAGAUAGCCAAGUGUGGAAGUGAAACUCACUCAUAUUUUAGAAUCAAUAAAAAUGCACAAGUGAAUACGAAGUUUCACCCUUCAAUGAAAGACUCUAGUUACCACAUUUAAAAAACAACAUAUUUUUAAAAAAUUUCCAUAUUAUGACUGUACCAUUGAUGAUCAUGAAUGAAUCAAACUACAAGCAUCAUUUUGGAUAUGGCAAAGAAUGGUUCUACCGACAACUCCUUAACGAAAAAAUCUAUCGGUACCAUAAAAGCUACGAAAGACGACUCACUAUCGGGUUAUAGCUCAAGACGAAGGAGAGACAUUCGCUUUUGAAAAUUUCAGUUUCUCUAGUUAACUUAAAACUUCUUUUCAUCUUCAAAUAGUUUCCCCUUCAAAACAUCAAACAUGGAUAGGCCCUUUAAGGCCUCAACCCAUGUGAUGUGACGCAUAUAUAUGCAGAGUAACUUUAUAUGUGAAGUUGAAACUGACUAAAACACAAUUAGCAAUUAAUAAAGAAAAACAUAAAUGAAGUAGAGUGAGAUAAGAUUUGUUUGUUUUGCGGUUCUCUUCAUUCAUGUUUGAUUGAUAUCAAGGUCAGAGUCGGAAGAAGAUGAUUAGUCCACCAAAUCGAAGUGUCAGUGACACAACCUCAAUUAUAUAGUUUCGUGUUGUCAUGCAUCAACAAUAUUAUCUAGCCUCUUCCAUCAACCAAUCAUACAUUUUUUAAUGUUUUCUGUGGUAUGCUAGUAGCAUUGAUAUUAUUGAUAUCCCAUUUUGUGUGUUUGUUUUCGUCAUAUACCACUUGAAUAAUUCUUUUAAUCACUUUAUGUUCUUGACUUCGUGGAUUGAAGCAAUUAUUCUUUGAUUUCCAAUGCAUCAAAAUCGUUAUAUUUACUUAGAUUUGUGUUACUAUUUUCAUCCCUAAAUAGACCUUCCAACAUUUUUGCAAACUCUGUUGUUCAAUUCACAAGUAUGAAUUUCGAUGUGUUUGUAGAUGCAUUUGGAUGUGAUGAAGAACCUAACCAAAAUUUCAUAACAUUUGUCUUUGAGAUUUUCACAUAUAAUUUUCGAGCUAGUGUGAGUAUAAGAUGAGUAUAUGGACUCAUCAACGGGUCAUCAGGUCGAGUAUAAUAGCCAGCAAUGGUAAGCCACUUUGCAACAUCUCUCAUACAUGUUUUGAGCAUUAGUUUUGCGAACAACAUUUUGAGAAAAGUCUUGUUAAUGUCAAAUUUUUUUUUUUUACGAAAUGAAGUUUUAGCUAGUUUACCUUCAUAAAAGAGAAGAAGCAUGUUUGACUCUUCCAAUAUUAUUUAGAAAAGGUGGCGAAAUGGCUAAUUAAGGAUUAACAUGGUGAAGACAAGCACAUGAAUGAUAUACAAAUCUUGUUCAAAAAAAAAGAAUGAUAUACAAAUCAUGUGACUUGUUAAAUGCAUUUUGGAUUCUAAAGGUAGACCUAAGAUAUAUAUAUAUAUAUAUAUAUUGUCUUGUGUAAGAAAUUAAACGUUUACAUAUUUAAAUUAUGAUAGAAAAGAACGAAUGAUUUUUAAGUCAUAAUCAAAUCUUUAUCCAAUCACAAAAAGUUUGACUGCACAUCAAAUUUUGCAAUUUACAAAAGUUUAGUUAUCGUGAUUACAUUAUAUUCAACAAAACCAUUAUUAACAAUCCAUGCAUCCCACAUGUCAUACUACUUUGAGAUUUGCAUUUCCUUUAAAACACGCCACAAAAUAAAAUUAACAAACUAAUAUUUCCUUUUUAUAACUUCAAUUAAGACACAAAUUUAACCAAAUAAAAAAAUUAGAACCACUUAGUUCCCCACUCAUAUGAUUUACUAGUGUAUAUUGUGAAUCACAAUUAUAUGAUAUGUUAAUUAUUGAAUUAAAAACAAAUACACAUAUAUUUUUAAAAUAUCUUAAUUAUCCAUCUACCUUAAAAUCUACGGACCGCGGCGUCUUACAAAUAAUACAGCUUGGUCUUAUACAAAAUCCCGAUAAUACCCUCUUAUACGUACGUGUUCAUUACCCAACCCAUGCUUUUUUUUUCUUCUUACGUGUGUAUGACUAGACACGUAGGCCCCACUCUGCACCAAGACAACUCUUUUAACCUAAAAACAAAAAAUAAAACAUAGUUUUAAAUUUUCCUUUUUUUUUUUUCUUUUGUUUAAGAGUUCUUCUUCAUAUAUAAUAUCUUUUCGUUUCUUCUUCCUUUUUUUCUCCCCGGAGAAAAAUCUUAUUGUUUCCUCUGUUCGGUUGGGCACAGCUAUUGUUUGGAAUCCGGAACGUUGGAGGAUAGCUUAGAAAUGGGAAUUCUGAACGACGACGCCGUUUUAAUCGAACCUGGAAAACUCUCCGGCGAUCCCACCAUCGUUACCGUCAAUUGUCCUGAUGAAUCCGGUUUAGGUUCUACUCUCUGUAGAAUCAUCCUCGAAUUCGGUCUCUCCAUUACCCGAGCAGGUCUCUUUCUUCUUUUUGACUUAUGUUUUGACUUCGUUCGUUAUCCUCUCUUUUUCUCGUUGGGGGAGAAUUUGGAAUAUACUCUGUUGUUUGUCGUUUUACCUUUACGAAUAUUCUUAUUUAUGUUCCAGACUUGGAGAUUCAUAUUCUGUUUGUUUUUUUGUUCUUAAUUAUUGGGGGGGGGGAUAAUUAAUUCGAAUUUACUGAUGAGAUUCUGAUGAUUUGCAGAUUUUUCAACGGAUGGGAGAUGGUGCUAUAUAGUGUUUUGGGUUACUCCUGAUAACAGCUCUCCUAAGAUUGAUUGGAACAGUUUAAAGAAUCGUCUUUUAUCUGCUUGUCCUUCUUGCCUUGGAUCUUUCUACUUAUCUCUUCAAUCCAAUGUCUCUAAGCCUCCUUCCCUUUAUCUUCUCAAGUUCUUUUGCCGUGACAGGAAAGGAUUGCUUCAUGGUAUGUGAUUGUUGUUUUCCUGUAUGCAAAGUAUUGUCCUUUCGUCUGAAGUUUUUGUUAAGAUGGUUGAUUAGAAUUUUGUGCUCUUGUUUUGGUGGUUUGUAGAUGUUACUAAAGUUCUGACUGAGCUAGAGUUUACGAUCCAAAGAGUUAAAGUCAUGACAACACCAGACGGAAGAGUUUUGGAUAUGUUUUUCAUCACUGAUGCAAUGUGAGUUUUUUAAAAAUCUCAUUCUGAUGUUUUAAUGUGAGAAGAAACGUUAGCAUUGUGGUUUUCUAAUAAUAUUCUUGUUGUCUAUAUAUAUAUAACAGGGAUCUGCUGCAUACUAAACAGAGGCAAACCGAAACGUGUGAUCAUCUAACGGCUGUGUUUGGUGAGCAUGGUGUGAGCUGUGAGCUUGAAUUGGCUGGUCCUGAGUUAGAAAGCAUGCAACGGUUCUCUUCACUUCCACCUCUGGCUGCUGAUGAGCUGUUUGGCCCAGAUGGGUCUGAUAUUCGCGGCUCUAGUUCCAACAAAGCUGUUCUUACGGUUGAUAAUCACCUGAGCCCUGCUCAUACGUUGCUUCAGAUUCAUUGUGUUGAUCAAAAGGGGCUCUUCUAUGAUAUCCUCAGGACGUCCAAAGACUGCGAUGUCCAUGUAAGUAAAGACCUUUAUCUAUCAACCUUAAGAGAGAACCUUUACCUUGCCACUAUUCUGUUUCUAGAAAUUAUGACUUCUAUAGGCCUAUUCCUUGGAUUUGGUUGAAAGAUUCGUAGAACUCAAGUACUACUUGUUUCUUUAUCCAGAUUGCAUACGGUAGAUUCUCCUCAAAGGUUAAAGGCUACCGGAAUUUGGACUUGUUUGUUCGAGGUACUGAUGGGAAGAAGAUAGCGGACCCAAAACAUCAAGCCAACUUCUGUGCUCGACUUAAGGAGGAAAUGGCGUGUCCUUUGCGAGUGAUAAUCGUGAACCGGGGACCAGAUUCUGAGCUAUUAGUAGCCAACCCUGUGGAACUAUCUGGAAAAGGAAGGCCGCGAGUUUUCUAUGAUGUCACCCUCGCGUUGAAGUCACUUGGAAUCUGCAUUUUCUCCGUUAGUAUAUCAAGUCACAAUAUUUUUCUAAGCUUUUAAGCUGUUAUUUUGUUCUAAUUUGAAAUUGUGUUUUCUUGUAGGCUGAGAUUGGGAGGCAUUCGACUUUAGACCGACAAUGGGAAGUUUAUAGAUUUCUUUUGGAUGAGAGUCGUGAAUUGCCGCUGGCUAGUCUCCGUGCGAGAAAUCAGAUAGUGGAUAGAGUCACAAAGACACUUAUGGGUUGGUGAAAGUUAAUCUGAGACAGUGGAAGAGAGCUUUCAUGGACAUUAUUCUACUCGAGGGGCCAAAGAAAUCUAAGUCUUUGCCUGCGGCUUGCGGUCGAUGAUGGGAUUGCCAUUCGGAGUUUGUGUGGAGCUAAUAGUGUUGUAAAGCUUUUGAAAGUGUAAAAGGAUAAUAGCGCAAUUGCAAUGAAUGCUUGUAAACUCAGUUUGCAAAAAAGUAAUCGAAUCUUGCGACCUUUGAGCUUUGACAAGGUGGUAACUACAAGCACAUGGAGUCACAGUGUGCGUUGAAUGUGCGAGACUGGACCUGAGCCACGUUCGAAUCGUAGACAUGCACAUGAAGGUAGGGGUUAUACACAUACGAUGGAAAUAAUAUGGUGAUUAGACAAGUCGUAUAUAAAAUCUAGAUUAGUUUUGUGGAGGCUACUACUGCCACGAAAUUUGUAAGGUCUUCUGGUCUAGUUGCUAUCAAUAAAGAGAAGUACCAAUCUAAAGUAUUGGUUCUAAUCCAUUAUUUAAUCAUACUUAAAAUUUGUUUAUUUUAUAUGGUCAAUUUAUAUAUACUACAUCUAAUCUAAUACUAGUAAUCCUGUAUGAAUGAUGAAUUGAAAAAAAUUGACUGAGUUGAAGAAGUGAGAAAAAUUGCCAAUUAAUUCAUUGACAAAUUUAUAAUUAUGGAAACUGAGAUUUAACGAAUUAACAGUUUUUAAAAAAUAAAGAAAAAGAAAAACAGAACGCGUUAAUCGAAGCGGUAGGGUUAAAUUCGUCGUUUCGUAAUCCUCCGUUGUGGCUCCAUCGGCGGCUAAAAGUAAAUAAUCCAGAGGUCCCAUCACUACGGAAGCUGUGACUCUCCUCCUUCGAUAUCUUUAGGUUUUGGAAAUUCAUAGGCGAGAGCCGAGGAAGAUGACGACAUUAACCACCGGGAAACAUUCUCUGGCUACCGGAAAAGAAGAAGGCGAGCUAUCCGCCUCCGACGAAGAAGUAUUGUUCUCUCCCUAACAAAACUCUAUUAUAUCUCUUUUAACUCUAUAAUUUCUAUAUUCUGCUAUAGAAUCUGGUUUCUGUUUUCUCUCGAUUUGCGUCUUUUUGAGAUCUGCCUCUGGGUUCGCUUCUUCUCAAACUUGUAUGGGUUUAUAGAUUGUAGCCUAUGAUUCUUGAGCUUAUUUCUUAAUGAUCAUUAGAUUUUAUAGCUUUCGUGUUGCAUUUAUUGUGUCAAUCCACUGUUUCUAAAUGUUUUUUUUUUUUAUCAGUCAAUCUCAAAUUUUUUUCUUUCUCAGGUACAGCCAAUGGAAACAAGCACGAGAGUUCCUCUUACGGAACAUGUAUCAGUUCCUUCAGCUAACACAAAUAUCCAAAGGCGUCAAGCUGGUAAAUAUAUUAGCUCUUAGCUUCAUCUGAAACUCUGUAUCUACGUGUGUUUUGGAUUGGUAUUUACUCUAUGGGAGCUUCUGAUGCUUCACCAUAUUUCUAGAAUACAGGAUAUUGUAGAUGUACACAUACUUUAAUCAGUAUCAAACUAUUAGAGCAGAUAGUUAGUGUCCAUUGGAAAUGAAUGUACAACACUACCAAUGUGUUCUCUGCGGUGCAUUUAUCACGUGUGAAGCAUGAAAUCUCCUGCCUUUGGAAUUUCAAUGUAGAGGAAAUUUCAAGUCGUUUGAAAUCUCUUCUUAAUGGAAGUUGACAAUGAAACAAACUCAUUGUUUUUUUCUUUUUUUCAUUCUAACUCGUCAGGAAAUGGUGGAUAUCUGAUUAAACCUUCUAGUGAUGCUACACCCUCAAAGCUGACCCACCCUGGAGGCCGUAUAUUUGAGAAGAAGCAAGCUAUUGCUGCCAUUCAUGGGAAGAAAUUUCCUGCAAGGGCCAACGACAGCAACCUCGUGAUAAACUUCUCAAAUGAUGAUAGUGGUAGUGAAUCUGAUGGUAAAGGAAGGACACAGACAUCAAAGAUUCAACCAAAGGGAACCAUGUCUGGGAAUGGGAAACCAUCUACAUUUUCACAAGCAAAAUUGAAAGGACCAAGACAAAUAUUGUCAACUAGCACCUUUAGUCAUGCUGCAACGUCCAAAUUUUCUAACCUUUCAUCUGCUAAGGAAAUGAAAUCCGUUAAAAAUAUUCAUACCUUUGUAAGGACGGUUAACAAAGAUACUCGGCGUCCUGAACAGAUUGUGGAUCCCAAUAGCAACAAACUUCAAGAUUUAAAGCAGCAGAUUGCUCUUCGGGAAAGUGAGCUGAAACUUAAGGCUGUGCAGCCAAAGAAGGAUGUUGUUAACCCAAAAAGCUGUCCAGCAAGGAGAGUCAAUAUUAUUGCUGAUGAUACUAGACAGCUAGAACCAAACGAACCUGCCAAGAAGCGCUUAAAAAUUAGUGGAAUCGACCCAAGUCAGCCUGUUAUUGAAUGUCGAGUGCCAGCAUCUGCUGCUGCACCAAUUAAUGCGCCAGAUAUCCGUAAAAGUCUACUGCCAGGUGAGUCUAAAAGGCAACCAUUGAAUAUGCUACUGGCUGUUUCACUUAAACUCUAUCUUGGAUCAAGAAUUAAGUGUUUAAAUUUUUUCCCACAUCUGAUAUCACCGGACUCUGAUGUUAUUUGCAGGCGUCAAUGCAAAUUGUAUUAGCAAACACCUCGGAAGUAACAGUGAUGAGAUUGUUCCACCUAUUAUUUCUCAGCAUACUGUAGAAGGAAAUACAAGCUCAAGUGCCUUACAAAGAAGCACUGUACGUGUCACCAUGGUUUUGUGUUUAAGAUUAUUUUACCAGGCUACUUUCGGGCCAGGAUUUUUCUUUAUCUAAGCGUAUUUAUUUUUAUUGCAGGGUAAGGAAAAUCAUUACGAAGGUGGAAGAGAACUGGAAAGAAUGAAAACUGUUGAUGGGAGCAUGUCAAAUGAUCAGUUACUUAAAAUAAUCAAUGGAAAUCAUCAGGUUUUUUCUAGAUCCUUAUAUAAUGACUUGGAGGCGGCUGGUAGAAUUUUGUGAUGCUUACUUUCUUUCUCUUUUUUUUUCCCUGCUCGUAAUUAGCCUUGUUUAAAUAAUUCUGGCCUCUGGAACAUCCCGGGAAAUACAACAGCUCGUGGACAUAGUCAACUGGAUAUGCUAUCUUUGACGAACCUAGAGGAAUCGCUUGACAAAGAGUUGGAGGAAGCACAAGAACGUAAACGCCGUUGUGAAAUUGAAGAAAUGAAUGCUCUUAAGGUUUAUAGAAAGGCACAGAGAUCUUUGAUUAAAGCAAACGCCAGAUGUGCAGAACUUUACAGUAAGAGAGAAAUUUUAUCUGCUCAUUAUGGAUCUCUCAUUGUCCACGACUCCAGAUUGUUAUGGCCUUCUAUACAUGGUGAUAAUCCUGAAACUGGGUUUCACUUCUUGAAUAAUAGUACUGGAAACAUUGAUUUGGCAACCAAAACAGACAUCGUUCAGCAUACUCAGCUAGAAAGCAACCACAGAUAUGACAGUGAAUAUGGUGUCAGUCAUCCUCCACCUCAUUCCCGUAGUGGACAUAAUUUGGGUUCAGAACCAUGCAGUGAUCUUGGUGCUAGUACCUCUGAUGGCCUGCCUUGCAGUAAUAAGCAAACUGUAAGUAGACUAUGCUCCCCGUCAAGUGAUGCAAACAUUUUGCCAGAGGACGAGUCAUUUCCAGUUUACAAUGAAUCUACCGAGGGGAACCUUGGACAUCAAACAAAAAAUCUUGUUCAAACAGAAGGUAAUCAGAAUGCUUUGCUUCUCGAAGCAUCAUUAAGAUCCAAAUUGUUUGAGCGUCUAGGCAUGAGGGCAGAAUCUAGAGGUGGCACAUGUUUCAAUGGAGAGACGGUAAUAGAUAGAGGGGAUGAAAGUGAUGUUGCAAGUGAACGAACCCACAGAGAUGACAGUAGUCCUUUCUGUGGAAAAAAUCAGCAAAAUGAUUCUCGAGGUAAGGAGUUUAUCAUAAGAGAUUGGCAUUUUGCUUAGUUAUUUUAAGAAUUGUUCAAAAGGGAAAAAAUAGCAUGGUCGUUUUGCAACCUGAUUUUACAUUAAGUGGCUACUCUUGGAGAUGAUUUAGCCACACUGCGGAUAGAAAAUGCAUGAACUGUCGCCAUAUUAGCUGAUUCGUGAUUGAGUUCCCAAGCAUUGUCUGAGAUGGCUGAACCAACGUGUGGCCCUGAUGUGCUCACUUACCUUUUUAUUUUCAGUAAGACGUCUUCCUGUUUUCAAUUUCAGAGCCAGGUGCCAAUAAACUGCAAGGAAUUCCCUCCAAAGCAUCAGUUGAACGGAGCUCAAAUGAGGAAAAUUCACUAAAUGUUCAGUCAUCUAUAGAUAUGGAGUCCCAUAUGAUUUCACCAGAGCCUGACCUUUUAUCGUCUGUAGCUUUGUCAGGUCCUUUAUUUCGGAGCACAAUCUAUCAUCUGAAAGUCCCAGGGUCUUCAAUUACUUCUCUGGGACCAGAAUACACACUUCAAAAUAAGUCAUAUAGCCUAUACAGUGAUAAAAGACAAUGUAGGAGCUUGACUGAAACUACAGUAUAUGAGAAAAAUAUUGGCUUCUACGCCUGUAAUUUGAAGGUGGACCCUUCUUGGCCUCUCUGCAUGUACGAGUUACGGGGAAGGUGCAAUAACGAUGAAUGUUCUUGGCAGCAUUUCAAGGAUUUCUCUGAUGACAGUUUACAUCAAAGUCUACAUGAUCCUCCUGGUACGGCAGAAAAUGUGUGUUUAAGUGUUCUAGAAUGUCUUUGCUAAUUGAUCGGUUUGCUAAUUGAUCGCUGUUGUAGAUGGUGGAGUUAGAUCAAACUCACAUCCGAAGAAUCAUAAUUCUUCCAAAGGAUCCCAGAUUUUGGACACGGUGUUUUCACCAACUUACCUUGUCUCCUUGGAUACGAUGAAGGCUGACUCGUGGUCUUAUGAAUCCGUUCUAGCUCAAAGACAUGGGCAAAUGUGGUGGAAGCACUUUAGUACCUGCCUAGCCUCAUCGAAUUCACUUUACAGAAAUGCGCCUGCAAAGGAAAAUGAAGGUCGAAUUGAGGUCCUAGGAAAUUCAAGAACGUACUCAUCAUACUUCAGGAUUAAGCAUAGCUUGAUGGUUUGUCUUUGUUUUCUCUUUCUUUUAAGUUUUGACCUUUAAUUUUGCUAUAUCUUGCUGCAGAUCUGACCAUUGUUUUAUUCAUUUGUUGAUGUUGUUACUACCAUCGUGCACUGACGUGGUUGGUGCAUUCGUAGAAUAUCCUUAAACAACGUCCAGACGCUGCUGUUGAACCCGUGGAAAUGGCUCUUAUUAUUUUCUUUCGGGCAGUUGACCAGUCAGAAGGCUUGAUCCAGGCAAUGUUGUUUGAUUCCUGUUAAUCUUGUUUUAUAUCAAAUUUAGCUCUCGUUCUAAUUCUGGUGACACAUAUUUCAGGCCCUUUCUGUGCUCUCACAAGGUCUUGAAAGUGACCCAACUUCUGAGAUUCUUUGGACUGUUUAUCUCCUGAUUUACCAUACAUAUGAAGGAUCAGAUGGGAAACUUAUGUUUCCUUAUGGGGUAUGUUAUCGCCUGCUACGUUAUUGCCUGCAUGUUAUGAUUGAUUGUUUGUGUAUGUUUGCAUAUAUUCUAUAUAUAAUCCAACUUGGUGUUUCUCAUAAUGUUUUACAGUUUUCAUACUUCUGUACAGAUAUCUUGGCAUAUUAUUAUCUUUUUCAGUUCAUUGGCCAGUUACUAGUUAAUUUUUUAUUUUCAGUUCUUUACUAUAGACUUUGAUGCUUUAUAAUCUUUCUUUUUGGUUUAUAUGGGAUAACUUUUCAACUCUUCAGGUCAAACACAGUAGCAGAUCAUACGUAAUUUGGCUUAUGUACAUCAACAGUCAAGGAAAACUUGAUGAUCAAUUAAUUGCAUAUGAGGCUGCCCUCUCGGAACUUUGCAACCACGCAUCUGGGUCUAUUGAUAGGAAUCAUGCCAGCGCUUCCAUAUUAGAUAUUUUGUUGCAGAUGUUCAACCUUUUGUGCAUUUCUGGGAAUGUUUCUAAGGCAAUACAGAGGAUAUCCAAGCUUCAGGCUCCAGCAGCAGUUUCUGAUGACCCUGACUUUUCACUGAUGUCUCACAUUCUCACAUGCUUAACAUAUUCUGACAAAUGUGUGUUCUGGGUUUGUUGUGUGUACUUAGUUAUUUACAGGAAGCUACCUGACUCUAUUGUCCAACGACUUGAAAUGGAGAAAGAACUACUUCAAAUAGAAUGGCCUUCUGUUAAACUGGAUGGUGACCUGAAGCAAAUGGCGUUCAGACUAUUUGAUAUAGGGAUGCGUUCCCUAGAAUCUUGUACCAACAAUGGGUUGUCAGAAAAUGGAAUAGAAAACCGACCUGCUGGGCUAUUUUCUCUGAACCACGCCUUGUUUAUGAUUGCAGUAGAUGAGUUGGAAAGCUGUAGGAACAUUUUGAAGGCGUCUGUUAAUCUCUACCCAACUUGCUUGGAGCUGAAAUUGUUAGCACUUAGGAUGCAAUCGAACAAGUUAAAGAAUAUGUUUUCGUCUGGGUAUGAAGUGCUUCUCGAGCAGGAAGCAAUAGAGGCAUCAUGCAUACAAUGUAUGUGGAAUCAGUAUGUUGAAUAUGUUUUGGAAGGAGGAAGCUACGACAUGGCAAGAGAACUCAUGUCUCGUUGGUACGUGUCAGUAUGGGAUAUAUUGCCCCGUAAGGAUAAGAUAGUAUUGGCUAGUGAAGAAUCUUUAUCAGAUCUAAAUGUUACAUCAGGUCAGGUGGAUGUGAUGUUUGGAUAUCUUAAUCUAUCUCUCCAUAAUCUACUGCAGAGUAACUGGACCGAGGCUUGCUCAGCCAUUGACCAAGCACUAAAAGCUACAGCUCCUGAGCAUUUUAUGCACUGUCUUAGAGAGCAUGCUCGGUUUCAGCUAAUCAACGAAUUGCAAGCAAGGGGUGAAUUUUCAAUCAACUUACAAUUGAGAUUACUCAACUCUUACUUGGAUCGAGCAAAUUCUUUACCUGUAAAAGAGCCACUAUCUUGGAAAUUCAUCAGCAACAGCGGGGAGAAACCGAGAGUCAGGAAGCUAGUUACUAACCUUCUGGCUCCAGUUUCAUCUGAACACUUAGUGGUGAAUGUUGUUCUUGAAGCAUGGCAUGGACCAUCUCUUGUACCCGAGAAGCUAAAUAAACAAAAGGAACUGGUGGAUUUUGUGGAAACAAUAUUAGGGUUGGUUCCAUGCAAUUACCCGCUGGCUUUGUCCGUAAGUAAGCUGUUAAGGAAAGAAGAGAAACAUUCAGAUUCGGGUUACUCCUCGGGUAUUCAUUUCUGGGCGGGUCUGAAUUUGGUGAGUACAAUAUCUUGUGCCAUCCCAAUAGCUCCAGAGUAUAUCUGGGUGGAGGCUGGAGAAAUAGUGAGCAAUAUCAAUGGUUUCAGGAAGAGAGCUGAGAGAUUCUUGAAGAAAGCUUUGUGUGUAUAUCCAAUGUCAGUGAAGUUAUGGAGAUGUUACAGGAGUUUAUGCAGAAGUAUAGAAGAGAGAAGAGGUAUUGAGAUCGAAGAAGCAGCCGGAAAGAAAGGAAUCACUCUUGAUUGAUAGUUUGAAAGUACAAGUCUUUGGGUUUGUCCCCUAAAUAUAUAGCAGCAGUAAGAGUCAGUAUAUUAGUAAAAAGGGGUUCUUUUUGGUAAAGAAACUGGAAAUAUAGUCUCAAAAAGAGGGUAAGUGAAUACGAAUUCUACGUUUAACAUUUCUUCUGUUGUUUUAUUUUUUCAGUCUCUUUAUAUGUAAAAACUUACUUGAAAGUUGUGUUUUUUUUUCUUCUGGAAUCUGAAUAUUGUAGGUUUUUAAUGGGAAAGUUAAACAAAUGCAUUUCAAAAUUAUAGAAAGUCUAUCAGCCAGAAGAUAGAUCAGCUGCGUUGAAAAAUUAAUUUGGUUCUGUUGCAUAAAAUAAUAAUUUAACUUCAACAUUUGAAUAGUUUAAUAUAUUAACAAGUAUGAGUAUGAUUUAGUACCGUUUUUAAUCUAUCUUGACCUCGUUUAAGGUUUUGUCUCGUGUUUGAUUAGACCUUGUAUCCUUAUCAAGUACCACUACACCUAGGCCGGUCACUUAGAUAUACAAACUUUGUAUGUAUAAGAAAGGUUAUAAAUCCAUUCGGCAAGCAAUGAAACAACUACGGACCAGCCAAAAUAAAGUUCCCAAGAACCAAUCAGAAAAGUCAACAAGAAAACACCAAAAGAGUAGAAAACAAAAUCAUAAAAACCUCUCUAGCUACUUAGCUAGUAGAAAAAACCAAGCACUUUGCCCCCAACAUUUUUCCUCCUAGCUUCUUCGUGGUCCAUGAUUCCAGCUGAUGUUGUCAGGACAAUGUACCCAAACUGCUUAAUUUGGUACAGACACUUUGUCAGAUCCCAUAAUGAUCACACACAAUAAGACAUGAAUUUUUCACAGUGAUUAUUCAAGAAACAUCAAUAAUUGAGAAGGAAUGCUUAGUUACCAACAAAAAAUAGAAUGGGUAGUUUUAUACCUGUCUUGAAGGGAGUAAUUUGGCAGUCCAGCCUUCGAUUUCCUUGACGCCAACAUCAAAACGAGGACUAAUAACGCCACAUUUGUUAAGCCUUCCAUUAAGCUCAACCACAAUCUUACCGGAUCUAUGAUCAUCCACAUAUUCAAACUCUGCAAUGUAACCUAUAAAACAAAGGGAACAAAAUAGUGUUUUAAAGUCAAAACUGAACAUCUUAGAUAUAGCACAUAGUUUCAUAAAACCAUAUGAUUAUUCAUCAAACAACAAGAAGCUCAAAUAAGCGCAUUAAGACAAUUUAAUGUACCAUGUUUUUGCAUCACAGUGAGAAACUUAAUGAUCACUUUGGAAGAGGGUCUUAUCAUGACUUGGCGUUUCCCUCGUUUCUCUGCAUUACACAUGCUCUUAAGAGAAUCAUUUAAGACGCUAGCUCUCACCAUUGUCGCUGCUUCCUCACAUAUAAAUAUAACAAUUUCCUCAUUAAGAGCCAUGACAUGUGAUAUACAUCAAAAAAUCAUAUACGUAUGGUGUUGAAUACUAAUACAGACAUUGGACCUGCCGAUUUCAGUUCCAAAUCUAUUACGUACAGAAUAUUCAAAACGUUAGAACAAAAACUUACCAAAGUUACGCAAAGAGUAGGACGAAUAUAAUUAGCAGAGCAGAGUAGAUUUUAGCUUUUUGGUAGUNNNNNNNNNNNNNNNNNNNNNNNNNNNNNNNNNNNNNNNNNNNNNNNNNNNNNNNNNNNNNNNNNNNNNNNNNNNNNNNNNNNNNNNNNNNNNNNNNNNNNNNNNNNNNNNNNNNNNNNNNNNNNNNNNNNNNNNNNNNNNNNNNNNNNNNNNNNNNNNNNNNNNNNNNNNNNNNNNNNNNNNNNNNNNNNNNNNNNNNNNNNNNNNNNNNNNNNNNNNNNNNNNNNNNNNNNNNNNNNNNNNNNNNNNNNNNNNNNNNNNNNNNNNNNNNNNNNNNNNNNNNNNNNNNNNNNNNNNNNNNNNNNNNNNNNNNNNNNNNNNNNNNNNNNNNNNNNNNNNNNNNNNNNNNNNNNNNNNNNNNNNNNNNNNNNNNNNNNNNNNNNNNNNNNNNNNNNGAAAAGAAACUUGUAUCAUCAUACAGAGAUUUUUUAAAAUUUCAAAAGAAUUGGGUAUUCUCAAACUUGUAUCCAACUACGAGCAGGAACUUCCAUAAUUCUUGAUACAUCAUUAGCCUCUCCUAAUCCCUCAUCUUGAUCGUAAUGAGAAGGUUUUAGUGGCUCAAGCUUUACAAGCUGACACAAUGCAGCAUUACUUAACAACAAAUUACAAUGCAUUCUUGAACAACUUAAUAAAGCUCCCCAUAUUCCUACACUUGCUUUCACUCUCAUUCUUCUCACCAUUUCCACAGCUUCACCUAACAAACCAGCCUUGGCUAAUAGAUCAAUCAUACACGCAUAGUGUUCAACUUCUGCUUGAAUCUUGUGUCUUAUAAAUUUUUGACGGUUUAUAGGUAAAAGUCGUUGCAGUCUCUCAGGCAAAUUCAAAGUUGGUUUUGAAAGCUUAUAUUUUACCUCACUAUAUAGAAACAAACUUGGUUCGGCAACAUGGAUUGUUCCAAUCAGUUCCGACCCCUGCAACUGUUUAAACUUUAAAGAGGUAUGGACUUCAAGAGUAGAGAGCAUAAUCAUUGGAAAACUUGAAGAGCUGUAGAAGUUUCAUUAUAUAAUUUCUAAUCUCGUUAAGAUUUUUAUUACAUCUAUUGAAAGAAGGACCCAACAUAUGUUCUAUCGCCUUAGCUCUCCUUUUGCUUAAUCAGAGACAUCAAAACUAUAUCCUCUCUGCAAUAAACUUCUGUGGUCUGAGAUUUUUUUCUCCAUAGAUGAAACGCUCUAUCUAUGUUGUCUGUGUGUCUCGUGCUUGAUGGAUCUUCCACAUGCCAGUUCUGUAUCCCACAGACAUUAAAGCAAGCUCCCAUAGCAUGUUUGGAAUGCUCAGCAUAUUGACUUUAGACCCGGGAAUUUCAGACCAUUUCACAGAGAUCUCAACCAUUGGAAUAUUGAAACGCUUGCACAAGUACACCAAUUCAACAUCAAAGCACCACCUGAGAAGAGACAUGUAAAAUGGGAUACUCUUAUUGAUGUUUCUCCUGUUAGUUUAUCAUCAUUGAUUCAUUUACACAUACCUUUUCAGAUGGACGUUUGUAAAAAGUCUCCUAGCAGCAGCUCUAGUAAACAUCUUGAAGCCACACUGACAAAAAAAAAAAAAAAUGAUGUUUAGUUAUUAUUACUCAAAAAUAUGUCUUGGUGAAACAAAGAGUGCCGAAGAAAACGACAUAUGAGAUUAAAAAUACCACCUGUGUAUCCCGAAUACCAGGACCAGCAGCUAACAGAACCACAAGAUGGAAACCCUUCAUCAGAAAGUUGCGAUACCAUUUCCUCUGAAAUUGACACUCUGAAGUCAAUUAUCUAAGACACAUACAUGUAUAUGCAUCUGUGUGUGUACAUAGAAAAUGAAUGAUGUCGUAUCUAGAACAGACGUUUGCAAAACUUACAGUAGCAAGAGCUUUCUCCUCGAGAUGAGCACGAGACCCAAAUGCAGAUACUUGAAUAUCACCUAUUCUGAAAUCCAUUUCCUUAGAUGCUGGAUUUCUGAUUGAAUAUUCUUCUCUAGCUACUGCAAGAAUCUAUGAGAGGCUAGGAGGUCAGGAUAUUUAACAGUUUCCAAUUUUUCUAAAAAUUUUAUAGCCAUAACUUAGGGCAAACCUGAUUUUCAAGUUUUUCUAGGUCGGUUACUUUAGUUGCUCCAUCAGCAUCCAACAUGAGAAGUAGCUGACCCCGCGAAUGCAUCAUUCCCUAUUUAAUGCUUUCAAAAAGUAGAAAGCUUGGAUUAUUUUCUUUUAAUAUGAAUGGCAAGUACAUAAUUUUACCCACUCACAUAAAAUACAUACAUAGUGCGCUAACGAGAUGAACUCACCUUUCUUAUAGCUUCUCCUUUGCCUUGAUUCUUUCCAAGGGGUAUAACCCUUAUGUUGUCAACUGUGUGCUUUCUAACAAAAUCAAAAGCUACUCUUUUUGUUCCAUCAAUACUUCCAUCAUCAACAAUCACUACCUAGAAGUAGAAAAAAAAAACUUACUCCACUGGUGCAUAUACGUUUAAGGAAUGCAACAAAAUCUAUUGAGAAAUUUAGCACAAGUGGUUAGUCUAUUUGAUAGACUAAUACAUUGUGAGCAUUGCCUCUCUUUUUUUUUAUAUUAUAGAGUUAGGUGAAUUAGUUAUAGAAGCUCAUACAUAUUCACCAUAACAAAGGCCAUACCUAGGUUAAGAAUCAACCUUAGUGGGUUGUAAGGAGAUAAAACAGAAGAAAGGAAAACUAUUUACCUCAAAAGAAAAACUCUUGUCCCGUGAUGCACGAUCUUGAAGGUAGCUGAAAACCACAAGUGAAUUACAAUUAUGCAUAAUUAAGGCUUGUGCUCCUGUUUUGGAAGAAGCAAACUUCUAACGAGUGUAAGCAGAGACACAAUCUUCAAAAGAAGCAAUUAUAAAAAGUGAAAAUAUUUUAACUUACUCCAUCGUUUCUUCAAGAGCUGCAGGAAGUCUCUGUUCUUCGUUAUAUGCUGGAACUAUUAAUGACAAAUACUUCUCAGCAGGGUCGAUAAUAUGAGGGCAAGGAACCUGAUGAUAAAUUUUGAAAACCACAGUCAGAAAAAAAGCGAACUCGGAUUCGUCAAUCUCAGCAACAAUGCCACCAGCCAAUGUGAUCAAGCAUGUAAAAUCAUCAAGAUUGACACAACAAAGCGCUAAUCUAUGUAUAAAUUCAACAUUGUGAUGGAACCGCUAAGCCAUUAAGCUACCAGCUUAAACAUGUAAAAUCAUCAUCCAAAGUCUGUAUCUUGAAGUGACUAUCCAUAACCUACGAACUAAUCUAGCACUAUACCAUUGAACUUCUCAAGCUUCUUUAGCAAACCAAAAUGCAACAUUAGAUACAGAAAGCAGACUAACAGAAACAGUUCCCUCCUAUUUCUUUUUUGCUCAACGAAACAGUUCCCCCUUAAAGUUUACAUUAACAACCAGAGCAGACGCCAUUACAUUCUACAAAACGGAUGAAUGUGAAGCUUCAACUUUCGUCUUAAAAAUGUGAACUAAGAGCCCAAAUCGCCAACGCAAGACCGUUCUAGAGAAUAUCUCAGUUCCAUUAACUCAAAACGAACUGCUCAUUUUAAAGUGACAUCGUUCUUUGCCAAACUACACCAGAACAACCCAGAAAACUAAUACUACCACAAUUCAAUCAGAAACAAUAAUGAAUCAAGCUAUACCGGUUUUAAAGAUUUCGGAUCCUCGAGUGUAGUCAAGGUCUCAACAGAGCUGGGAACAUCCAAAAACAAAAUAAAUCAAAUGCUUAUUUCUACAAUUCGGAGUCAGGAUAAGAUUACAGUAAUAGAAGCCCACAAAUUAAGAGAAUUCAAAGAAAUGGAGUAGAACGUACACGUUACUGUGUCUCCUUCUCCAAGCUUCAAAAACGACCACGGAGAGAAAUCCAAAGAAGACGAUCAGCACCAACGAGAGGCCGAAUUCCGCAAGUGUUACCAGAAACUCCAUUGUUAGCUCCCCAGAUUCCAGAUCCGUUUUGUUUCUUCACGAUAAAGAAAGACAGUGAAGAAGAAGAGAGAUCGAAACCAAUCCGUGAAGAAUAAGCAAGAAAACAGCUCUCUAAUGAUUAAUCCGUGAAAAAAUGGUUCAAUCCCUAAAUUUCAGAGCUCGAUUUGAUUUUGAGAUACCCAUUUCGGUUUAAACUUUUUGGUUCUAGCCAUGCGUAGGUUCCGGUUCGUUCGGUUCUAUUCUGAGCAAUGUCUUAUUUGAACAAACCGGAUACUAAACCGAAUAUGUUUGACUUCCGAAUUCUAAGAUAUUUAAUUAAACUAGAAACUACAAUUUUAACAUUCAUAAACAACAUGUAUAUUAAAAUCCAACUGAGUACAUACAUAAAAACAAAGAAAAAUGGCUUUGUUCUUAUUAUAUUAAAAUCAAAGGAUCUAGUUUUAUUGAUUUUAUUUUAUUCAUUUCAGUAAAUACAAUAUAAAAAUAAUUCAGAGCGUUACUGUUGUUAGGGCGCAUGUGCUAGUAGUGAUCGGGUUGGUAGUAGUGACCAUGCCACUACCCUUGAAAUCACAAGCGUUCUCGGUGCAUCCUUGGCUCUGGUAGUAAGCGUUCAUUACGAACGUAGAUCGAGUCUUCAUGUUGUUGUUAUCGAAACACAUGCCACCAGGUGAGAUUGGCUUACAGUCUAUACCUUGGCUACACACCCAAUCAAUAUUCGCUUGUAGUUGUUUCUCUGUAGCUUCUUGUUUAGCCAUACACCAUUUCCCACCGCUGCUUUGUGAGCCACCACCGCUUGGUAUGUUACAUGUGCUUGUGCUUGGGUUGUUAGUAGUGAACAUACCAGUACCACUAAAGUUACAAGCAUCAUCAGUGCCCCCCUUGCUUUGGUAAUAAGCGUUCAUGAUGUAAGAGGAUCGACUCUUCAUGUUGUUGUUGUCGAAACAUACGCCACCAGGUGAGAUUGGUUUACAAUCUAUACCUUGGCUACACACCCAGUCAAUAUUCGCUUGUAGUUUUGUGUCCGUCGCGUCUUGUUUCGCCACACACCAUUUUCCGUUGGUGCUCGGUGGGAUUUUUACGCCGUCUUUUAGGACUCCAACAUCGUAAACCGGAGAGAAAUCCGGUUUGAAUAGCCCCCAAUUUCUCUCACUGGUUGGACCGGGUUUCCCAUCUUCGUUGAACAAUGCGAAUAUGAAGAUAUCGACGUGGCGGUUGGGCAUAAGCGGUGUCCCUAUGACAUUUGCACGCUUGAUGAUAUUGAGGUUGUACUGUGCAGCGUUUUCAGGUGAACACCAUGCAGCGUCACAAGCGGUAGGCCAACCGGUCUCCCCUAUAGCCAUAUCUACGUCGCCAAAGCCAACAGCAUUCAUAGCAGAAUACAUUGCAUCCAUCAUUGCGUCAAACAAGUUGUUGUACGUGUGUUGUGUAUUGCUAUCCGUUACUGCAUUUGAUGUACCAAAUAUUGCGUAAUUGACGUUGUUCUGGUCCAUCGUGAAAAAAGUGUAGGCGUUGAACAUGAAUGGGGACUUAGCUUGACGAUGAAACUCCAAGAUCUUUGAAAAAAAAACUUUUUGAUCUUCAUUAAAUCUGCUCUUGCUUGGUGCAUCACGGUUAAAGGUUAUGGUAUAUGCAUGUGGAGUUGUCACCUGACAGCAAAUAAUUAAUGGUGGAUUUACAUCUCGUUGAUAGUAAAGAACAAAUAACAUUGUAUUCAAAGUAUAUUUAUGAAAAUAUGAAUAUAUAAUAUCUAUAGAAAAACAUGGUUAACAAUAUUACAUGCAUCCGAAUAACUUGUAUUAGUGCUGUCGUUGUGUUUAUCCAACCGAAGUUUUUAAAAAAACCACAUAUAUAAGGCAAGUUGAAUUCUGAUCAUCAUGACUUGACACUAACCUUAAUAUACUCGAGACCGGAAGCUUUCAAAGCUUCAUUAAGACUUUGCAUCGCUGGCACAAGAUUUGAUAUCAAGUUAUUGUCUUUACUAACAAGAAUCUCGUUUCCGACACAAAGGUAUUUGAACUUGAUCUGCUGAUGGAACGGCAAGACAUUGGCAGCGACCCAUUGACGAGCAUUUGCAACGUCGACCAUCGCAGGAAUGUUACCGUUAGGGACCAUAAUGGUGACGCUGAUUUCAGUGCCCGCUAGGCCUCGGAGGAUGUCGGGAUUAGCAUCAAAGAUCUUGACACUGUCCAAUUUUGUCUUUGUCUUGAUGAAGUCAACCACUUGUUGAGGAGGUUGAAGGUUCCCUAGUGUUCCAUAGUUGAUGCCAAUGGCCGAAGUCACGGCUGAGAGUUGAAAGAUCAUCGCAGCGACUAUGGGGAGGAAAGGGAGAGUAGAACACCGUGUCGUUUUGGCCAUUGCUUUGUUUGGAAGAUAGAUAACAGUGAUUCGUUUGGAUAGUAAGAUUGGGCUAAGAAUAUGCAUGUGUGUGUGUGUGUAUUUAUACUAAUAUUGAUUUUCAGUUUCUUAAAUAAACUUAUCAACAAUUUUUGCUAUAAAAUUUAGUGGAAAUGAUUUUUUUAGGAUAUUAUUUCCUCAUUAGAAGUUUGAUGUAUGUAGAUGAUAAGCAUGAACUUGGCAUUUUAUAACUGGCCUGAAAGAAAUCGCACAAAAUUAAUUUAAGUUGACAAUAUGAAAGAGGAUGAUCAUAUAGUGUACAUAUAUUCAUUCAUGGGUUACUUAAGAGGAUAAGCAUUAAAUGGAAUAUAAAAUGGAUAAUUUGUAUCUCAUGAAAGAUUGUAUGCAGUAUACAUAUGUAAACAUCUAUUGCCAAUUGGGAGUAGGAGCUGGUGUAAAAUUGUUUUUGAAUAGGUUGCAAGUUGUGCUAUGUGAAAGUGAUAUAGUGUAUGAUGUAUUUUUAAUUUCUUCUAUUAACAAUGACGACAAGUAUUUUCCUAAAGUUUUCUAAGUAAUUGAAAAGAAAAAUUAUAAUGAUCAACAUAAUAAAAAGUAGAUAAUAUGUAUAUAUGGUCCAUAGAGUGCUUACAAAAUAGAAAGAAAUACGAAAUAAUUAGACAGAAUGUAUAAUGAUUUGGAAAUAGCAGUUUACAAGAAUAGAUAAUGUAUUAUCUCAAGAAUAAUAACAAAAAUAAGGAAAAAUAUAUAAUUUAGUUUUGUUUUGAUAUAUGUGACAUUAUUGUGAUAUUAGAAAGUUAUAUUCCCUCUGUUUCACAAAAAGUGUCAUUUUAGAGUUUAAUUUUGUUUCACAAAGAAUGUCAUUCUACAUUUUCAUUGUAUUUUUAUACUAAAUUUUAUAAUUUUACCCUUAACUUGAAACUAAUUAAACUGAUAAAUCACUUAAUUAAAUAGGAGCAUAUAUGUAUAUUUUAAUGCUUUAUUAAUUUGUGUGAAAUGUGUCAAAAUGACACUCUUUGUGAAACAUAUAGAAUAUAAUUUACAUACACAUAGAUUUGGAUUGAACAAAAUAAGAUAUGAACAAAAUAAGAGGUAAUAAUAAAAUAAUAAUGAUUUUUUUGUGAUAAUUUUUUUUAUUUACAUUUUACUUUGUUUUAUGAUAUAUUUAGUAAUGUAUUUUUAUUAUAUAACCACUCAUAACUAAGGGGGGUGUAUUGGGAGAAUGAUUUUUAAAGAAUUUUAGAGUUUAAUCUAUUGUUAUUGGUUUAUAGAUUCUUAAUAAAAUAUUUUAUUAUUGUUAUUGGUGUGUGGAUUUUGUAAUUCUAUUUAAUUUUUGUUGUUAUUAAAAAAUUUGAAUAUUUAUUGAUUUUGCAAUUCUAUUAAACUUUAGUGGGACAAUGAUUUUUUUUACAUAUUUGGUUAUUAACUUUCAAAAUACUGCACCUAUCAUAUGCAUUUGUAAAAACUAUCUUAUGAAAAACCUACUAAACAAUAAAAAUCUAGGUAAACAAAUUUAUUGAUUGGAAUCUACAAAAAUCUUUGAGAAUUUUAAAAUCUCUAAACUUUGGAAAUGCACAAACUCUUUUAAAAUCAACUUUCCAAUAACCCCUUAAUCAUAACUAUAAUUUAACCUCUAGAUCUAACUAAACCGUAUUUCGUUAUUUUUAACCGAUUUACAUUUAACCGUGUUUGACGAGGUUACAAAUCGAACUCCAAAUCAUAACAAAACAUUCAACCCAAAAUCUCAUAUUUGAAUAUCUUCCACUUAUGGAGGAAAUCUGAGCAGCCAAUAAUGCAAGGAAGAUGAAUACCUCACACAGCAUAUUUUCAAAAAAAGUUUCUCCAAUGAGAAGUUGUAUACCACAUUGGUGUAAAUAUUAAAAGAAGCAUUGAUCAUAAGUUCAAAACAGUGAUUUGUUAAUCGUAAUUUUAAUUGAAACCAAAAUAACAUGGAAAACACCCCCCAUUCAAAUAAAAACAUGCUUAGAACAAACAAACUAUUAUGGUACCUGACGUGUAUAACUUCGUAUAUUAUCUUCUUCGUAUAAGCCUAACCUUGGCUCUUAUUGUAACCCCCAAUUGAAUCCCAUUGAUAAGAAAAAGAAGAAAAAAAAAGACUCAGCCGCAAAAAUAUUACACUCGAAAACGACUCAACAGAGCAAAAUUCUUUGGCCUCUUGAUGCCCAAAAAAACAAUCUGUACAAUCUCUUUAAGGAGCACGAUCCCCUUGAACUCUUAUCUUCUCGGGUUUGUUCCUGCGGCUAAAACCGCUCUUAUUCUUCAUGAAUCUCUCAGACUCUUGUUCGACUUGGAGAGCAAACUGAAGCCUCUUUAGAUUCUCAGCACACUGUCCGUGCAUCCCUGGUAAGAACAUUCCAGGGCCUUGCUGAUCGAUCGGACCGAGAUGCCUUUUGUGGGGUGAAUGCCAUUUGGAUCGCAGGUAGUUCAGAGAUCUCCAUGGAGGCAACGGCAUCGAAUUCUGCUUUAAGGAGAAUUUGGCUGCAUCGACCAUUACUUGGAGGAACUGGUUUAGUCUUGCCACGGUUCCUACAUAGACCACAGGGAGUGAUUCCAUUAUCCGUUGGUAAGAAUCCACGGCUCGGGCGAUUUCAAAGUGACUUCUGAAGUCAAUGUCAACAAUCAGACGAUCAUCUUGGCCAACUUCAGUCUCACUCAAUAUAAUAUCUAUGUAUUCAUUGUCACCUGAAAAUUUCAUAGAAACAUAAAACAUAUCAAUCUCUAGGUAUUUGAAAUGCAGAUAAAAACAACCAUAUAUAAUGGAAUUUAGGAGGAAAAACCUACCACCAGGAACUUUGCCACCGCCUUGCCAUCUUGCGGAACAAACAGCAGCAUCAUAUCCGGAAAGUCUUAGAAGCUUUGCGAGAUAGAACCUGAUACAACUGGCAUUACAAGUACCAGAUUUUACAGAGUGAAGAUCUUUCUCCUUAAUAGUAAGCAUCAGAGUACGAACCACGGAGAGAACCUCAGUUUCGUGUUGAGCCAUAGAGUACUUGAGAUACUGCAGAUACAAACAGAUAAAACUAACUUAACGAAAGUGUUCUCCACCUCUCCUAGAAACCGAAAUACUAAAAGAACAUGCUUCCCUCCCUCAAGCCACAUAUAUCAACUCUAGAUAAGAAAAAGCUACCAUUCUGAGUUGCAUUUUGAGUUCAGUGAUCAAAAAACCAAAAGCAAACAGAAUCAACCAUGUACAAAACUGUGUAAAUGGAUCAUACUAAACCAUGUUCGAGCAUCACAACACUAUAAUCAGCCUCCUAUUCAAAAAUGCAUAACGAAAACCAAUUAUCCCAGAUAAUACGGGAAUUGAAAGCCAACAAGAGAACCAAAUCGUGCGACGGUGGUACCUGAAUCUUAUCGGAAAGGUAAGAAGGAUCCGGGAAUCCAGAAUCGCUAUCGCUGCUGCACCAGGAAUCAGGAGCACCACCGCUUGCACCACCUCCGGUCUCGAUAAAAUCAGUAACCAUUAGGCCUAGGUCACGUUCACCGUCGUGGCUAGAAUCUCUCCCUCGAUUCCACAAUUCAUCGGCCGGAACAACCCUCAAAUCCAUCCCCAUCGUUCCUAAUUCGAUUAUCUUCUUCAAAUUCAAACCCAGAAGAAACUUUUAAAAUUCAAACAAAUUGAAUUGAAUUGAAUUGAAAUGAGUCUGUACAAUAGUAAUUAAUAAUAGAAAAACGCGUUUCUUCCUCUUUCACGAGUCUUGUGUGAUUUGAUUUAUUAUAUAUACCGAUGAGAUAGAAAGAAAGAGAGAGAGAGAGAGAGAGAGAUAGAGAGAGAGCUUUGAAGGUUCGUCGAUUAGGCGUGGUGAAAAAGAGAAUAAUCCAGGAAGAUAGGCGAAAAGGAAGAUGAAGCGAAGGUCGGGUUAAUAUAUCACUCUUGUUGAAUGUCAAAACUACCCUUAACUGUUUUAAUGAUUAAAAAACAAAAAGCUGUAAUGAACCAAAAAAACAGAAAAAAAAAUGAACCAAGACAGAGAAUAUGGGUGAUAUUCAUUUUACAAAGAAACAAGAAAUAGUUUUUUUUUUAUUUUUUAAACUGUUCUAACAGAGCGAUGGUGAAAGGGGUAAACAGGUAAAUUAGAAACAGACGUGGAGGGUUGGGGGGAGCGUAGCGGACAAUCGUGAAAUUAAAAGUUUUGGCUUGGGGACGAAGUUAAAUGGCGGCUUUUCUAAAACGUUUUUUUAAAAAAUCUAGCUGACUCGGUCCAUGUUAUAUACUAUCAAACAUAAAUGCUUUCCUAUUUAAAGUUUAUAGUACUAAUUAUAACAUAUAGUUUCAGUUCAAGUGGUCGUCAUAUACUAAUAACACACAUUGUUGAAUUCUUAAGCCUUCAAUUCAAGGGAACAUGGAAAACAAAAGUGUACACAGUAUUAGGCUCUUUAUUUUCUUUUGUUCGUGGGCUUUUUGGGCCUGAGGCAUGUGGGUAUAUCACUUACAAUUAUCCAAAACUGAACUGUCAGCCAAAACAUUGGGCCACACGACCAAUGUAAUUUAAAACCAUAUUUUUUGGCAGCUAAAAUAUUUAAAUACAGACACAUACAUAUAUAUUAUUAUUUUUUUGUUUAAUGCACAUACAUAUAUGAAUACAAUUACUUGUAUAUGGAUAUAUAAAAAAUCGAUUUGAAAAUCAUCUGGUUUCAACUGUUGCAACAAAAACGAGACGCCAAUUUUUAUUGUUGUAACAGUUAAGGAAACAUAUAUCGAUUCAUUUCUCUCUAGUCUCAUGUGAACAAUGUAAGAGAGAAAAACACAAAAAGAACUGAAUCCUGUUUUGAAAUUAGUGUAUCAAAAAAUGUGCGACUCUUAUAACGGAGAACAAAAAAAGGUGAAUUUUAAUUUUUAGCAAUGUGUGUGUUGUGUCUUGGGUGUGUGCGAGAAGAAACGGCAAAGUCCAAGUUUGAAGUGGGUACCUCCGUACGUCAAAGUUGUCCAACCCGUAUAUUUUGAAAUAAAUAAAUCUCCUGUUAAGAAGAAGAAGAAGAAGUAUUUUUGGGAUCUUAAAAAGUCCAAGCCAUACCAAACAGACAGCGACUUAUAAAACAAUACGCGACUCAUAAAUCACAUAACCUACCACCCCCAAGUCAAACCUGUUUUUCCUCCUUUUUUUUUUAUUCAUGUAUUCUCGAUUAUGACUUUUUAAAAAAAUCAUUUGUAUUCAUAUGUAUAUUUAGAUAUAGCUUGAGUCAAUUAUUUAUGUAUGUAAAAAACUUUCUCUGUCUAGAAAGAAAAAAAAAAACCAUUUCCGUACGUACGAGAUGAAAAAAAUAAUUGAACGGACAUGACAUCUCGAUUUUUUCAUUAGCCUCUCGACAGCGAAUACAAAUUUAUUUCGUGAUUUAAGUAAAAACGUCAUGGUGAACAAUUUUGUCCUAGGAGUUUGGCUGCCGUUGUUAAAUUGUGGGUAACUACUAACUAAACGUAUUAUUUUCUGCUUACACUGUUAUUUACACACACACACGCUGACACGCACAAACAUAACACAUAUAACCAAUAAACGUCGAGUGACCAAAUCAAAAUAACUCGUUACGAGACAGACGUCAUGUUCCGCUGUUUGUUUGUCGUCCCGUAAAUGGUAAAACACGCACCGUAACAUAACAAAACAAAACAGCACCCAUACAAAGUAAAUUUGACUAAUAUGUCUUCGAUUCAAUUUGUCAGCAAAAGAACGUUUUAGGAUAUUGCCAAAAGAUCUUUUUAAAAAGACUUUUAUACAAUAAAAAAAAAGGGUCAUCAUAUCAUUUCGAUCAAAUAGAAUCCAACGACCUUUAUCUUUUCGCCGAACUAUACUUUUAUUUUUUUUUGGUUUUGUGUCCAUUUGUUUGACUUUCUUUCACACAUCCACAAAGAAGAAAAAAAGACCAAUCUUCUCCUCCUUCUUCAUCUUCUCUUCUUCUGGUCACCCCUCGUGCUUCUCAUUAACACCAAACCCAAAACUUUGUUCUCUUUCUUCUUUUCUCUGCCAUCUCUGUUCACAUCUCUCUCUCUCUCUCAAUCUUUUAUUUUUUUGCCUGGAGGGUCGAAAGUUUCUAUAUUUCUCUCUUUUUCCUUCUCUGCUUACAACACAAUCCAUAUUCUCAGCUCAAGAAGCUAGAGCAGAACAAUCAAGAAUCAAAAUAAGGAGAAAACGAAUCUGUUCUUAGCUGAUGGGUUCUUGCUUCAGUUCUCGAGUCAAAGCCGACCUCUUCCACAGUGGUACAAUCUCUCUCUCUCUCUCUCCCCAACUAUCAUUCUUCUUGCAAUCUCCUUUUGUUUUCCACAAGAAAAUCUGGAAUUAUGCAUCUCUCUGUUCUACUCAUCACAAUUCGUGUGUUUAACCGGAAAAUGAAAGGAAAUUUCCGAUUUCGAUUCUGCUCAAUUUUGAAAAUGGUCAACAUAUGUGUGUGUUUGUAGGUAAGAGCAGCGAUCUGUUCGGUCUAAGUCUCUCCAGUCGGAAAUCUUCGUCGACUGUAGCGGCAGCUCAGAAGACGGAAGGGGAGAUAUUGAGUUCGACCCCCGUCAAAAGCUUCACCUUUAACGAACUCAAACUCGCCACCAGAAACUUCAGACCAGAUAGUGUGAUCGGAGAAGGUGGCUUCGGUUGUGUCUUUAAAGGCUGGUUAGAUGAGACCACUCUCACUCCCACUAGACCUGGAACCGGUUUGGUCAUCGCCGUUAAAAGGCUUAACAAAGAAGGUUUUCAAGGUCACCGUGAAUGGCUGGUACAGUUUUUUCAUUUCCCCACACUUGAAGUUAUAUAUGUGUUGAGUGUGAAUGUUUUGAGUCUGAUUUGUUGUGUUCUGUUGUCAAUUUCAGACAGAGAUCAACUACUUGGGGCAGUUGAGUCACCCAAAUCUUGUUAAACUGAUCGGUUAUUGCUUAGAGGAUGAACAGCGUCUUCUUGUCUACGAGUUUAUGCAAAAAGGAAGUCUUGAGAAUCAUCUAUUCAGAAGUGAGUCAUCUUAUCUUUGAUCAAAUCUAUGUUUUUGUUUGUAUUUUUGUUCUGAUGGAAAUGGUUUAAUGCAGGAGGUGCAUACUUCAAGCCACUCCCAUGGUUUCUACGUGUCAAGGUUGCGCUUGAUGCAGCAAAGGGGCUUGCUUUUCUUCACAGCGAUCCUGUCAAAGUGAUAUACAGAGACAUUAAAGCCUCCAACAUCUUACUUGAUGGGGUAUGUAGAGAGAUGGAUAUUUCUAAAAAUGAUUAAAAUGUCUUGAUAAUAUUUUACUGAUGACUAUGUUUCCCUUAACAGGACUACAACGCAAAACUUUCUGACUUUGGACUAGCUAGGGACGGUCCAGUGGGUGAUCUGAGCUAUGUUAGUACAAGGGUCAUGGGUACAUAUGGCUACGCUGCUCCUGAGUAUAUGUCAUCAGGUAAAAAUCUACCACUCCUCAAAAUGAAUUAUGACUAGGUUGAUCAAAUAUUUUAGAGCAUAUGGAUAAUGGUUUGAAUCCUUGUUUUGUCUCUCCAUUCUUUUAAUUCUUUUUCAGGUCAUUUGAAUGCAAGAAGCGAUGUGUACAGUUUUGGAGUUGUGCUUCUAGAGAUUUUAACGGGCAAACAAGCGUUGGACCAUAACAGGCCGGCUAAAGAAGAAAACCUUGUAGAUUGGGCUCGACCAUACCUCACAAGCAAACGCAAGGUUCUCCUAAUCGUGGACACUCGGAUAGACACACAGUACCUACCUGAAGAAGCCGUGAGAAUGGCCAGCAUUGCGGUGCAGUGUAUCUCAUUCGAACCUAAGUCGCGCCCAACCAUGGACCAAGUAGUCCGUGCCUUGCAACAACUUCAGGACAACUUGGGAAAACCGAGUCAGACCAAUCCGGCUAAGGAUACCAAGAAACUAGAAAAGAUUGGUUCUAAGUCAUCCGAAAAACGGUUUACUCAAAAACCGUUUGGCAGGCCUUUUCUUUAGAGAUUUGGAAAACAGGUCAAGCCGGUCACUGAAUUCCCGAAUGGAAUUUUUUUCCGCGGGUACUCGAAACUGCGGAUAUCCGUUUUCGACGGAUUGUAUACGAUUCUGGACAAACCGUGCAGGUCGAGAAUAACAACGGAUGCAUUCAAUUUUCCAGGUUACAUGUCCCAUACCCAAACGUUAGAAAACAUGUGUGGCCUUAGGCUUCCUUGUAUGCUGUUAUAUAUAUCGAGUGAAGAAGUAUAUAUGAGGUAAUUUUUGCCUCUUCUGUUGUAACUUGUAACACUCUUUGUGUUUUUGUUCCCUAAUUUAUUUUUUCCUAUCGGUAUUUUUGGACUCGUAAAGAACAACAAAAAUCCGAAGUCAAGUUUUAUUGGGUAAAUUACACUAUAAAUAUUUAGAGAUACAAAGAAUUAUCAAAAUUUGGAUGGAAUGCAUUUCAAAUCCAACCUCUUUGUAAAAUUAAUUAACUGCACCAAGUCGCACAUUAAACGGCAAAUGCAAAACGCAGCCGCUUAAUGAUACAUGUGUGUCGUUUUUUUCUUUCGCAUUCGAACUGCGUGACGUUCUUUUGGCUUAUCCCCCUUAGUGAGCAAAACUAGUCCAACUUGGCGAGAGAGCUGCAGAGAGGUUUUAGCCGCAGAAGAAAAGGGUUUACUCAGUCUUCUUCCAACUUCUGAGUGAUCGAAUUCAAAGCUAUGAUGACGACAACAACCAAUACUAUGGCUAUGCUCCAAAACCUCGUUUUCUCUGUUCCCAUCUCUCGUAUGGUAGUGCGGCGUCACUCCUUCGCUACCGUCUUCGCCACUGCCUCCACAACCGUCGUACCGUCUCCCAAACCGGCCUCUGCUAAACCGGCGCGUACUCCACACAUUGACUCGCAGGUUCUCCUCGGAAUGUCGGAGCCAGAGCUUCAACAGCUCGCUAUCAACCUCGGUCAAGUAAAGAUCCUAUUUUUGCAAUUUAACAAGGGUUCAGGUUGAUUUAGUCGAUAAAGUUCUGAUUUUUUUCCGGUGGGAAUUUUGCAGGAAGGCUACAGAGGGAAGCAGCUCCAUCAUCUCAUUUACAAGAGGAAGGCUGCUAAAGUUGAAGACUUUAGCAAUUGUAAGCAAACUCUUAACCAAAUUCUAUGUCUUCUGAAUAUAUCAUCUUUGUAGACAUUAACCAGUCUUCAAUUUCCUGAUGCUGGAAGUGCCACAAACGUUUCGUAAAGAGCUUGUGGAUGGUGGAUAUAAAGUGGGAAGAUCACCCAUUUACCAAACUGUUACCGCCACUGAUGGUACCAUUAAGGUAACUUUGUGCAAUGUUGAGAUUUAUUUUGCUUAAGUUCUGUUUGAUUAGUGUUUAAGGUUUCUAGUGUUUUGGUUUUAUCUUACAGUUGUUGCUAAAGCUUGAAGAUAACCUAUUGAUCGAAACUGUUGGUAUACNNNNNNNNNNNNNNNNNNNNNNNNNNNNNNNNNNNNNNNNNNNNNNNNNNNNNNNNNNNNNNNNNNNNNNNNNNNNNNNNNNNNNNNNNNNNNNNNNNNNNNNNNNNNNNNNNNNNNNNNNNNNNNNNNNNNNNNNNNNNNNNNNNNNNNNNNNNNNNNNNNNNNNNNNNNNNNNNNNNNNNNNNNNNNNNNNNNNNNNNNNNNNNNNNNNNNNNNNNNNNNNNNNNNNNNNNNNNNNNNNNNNNNNNNNNNNNNNNNNNNNNNNNNNNNNNNNNNNNNNNNNNNNNNNNNNNNNNNNNNNNNNNNNNNNNNNNNNNNNNNNNNNNNNNNNNNNNNNNNNNNNNNNNNNNNNNNNNNNNNNNNNNNNNNNNNNNNNNNNNNNNNNNNNNNNNNNNNNNNNNNNNNNNNNNNNNNNNNNNNNNNNNNNNNNNNNNNNNNNNNNNNNNNNNNNNNNNNNNNNNNNNNNNNNNNNNNNNNNNNNNNNNNNACUAUUGAUCUGAUCCUAAAUGUUUCAUCAUAGAGACACAUAAAUGUUUAGAAACAUAUAUUUGUUCCUAUUUGAAACCCAGGAGAAGAAUUCUUAGUAAAAAUGUAAUUGUUGCUUGUGUUUACAAGUGUAAUUUUUAAAUGUCAGGUGUUGGCUAUCGAGGAUGUGUUUAAGCAUAGGGUGACAAAUGUGGUUUUCAUGGGAAUGGGUGAGCCGAUGUUGAACCUAAAGUCAGUACUUGAUGCUCAUCGGUGUAUGAACAAGGUAACAUUUGCCAAUAGCCUUUUUCCAUUUUGACAUGGUUCUGUGUAGAUAUAAUUGAAGUUCUUGCUAAGUAUGUAGGCUCUGUAAUUUAAUUGGCAAGCCAACACAAAAGACUUGACCAUAAAAAAAAUGUUUUCUCUGCACAAAUAUAUCAUUUAUUUCUUUGCACAAAUAUUAAUUGCACAAUAGUAAGACAGAGCACUCACUGACAGUAGGGUUUUCUUUUACUUAGGACAUUGAAAUCGGGCAACGAAUGAUUACAAUAUCAACAGUAGGUGUUCCGAACACAAUCAAGAAGCUCGCCUCUCAUAAGCUUCAGUCGACCUUAGCUGUCAGGUGCGUCCUCACUUUCUGGUUUUAUUGUUGGUCAGAAACUAAAAUGAUCUUUUUUACUCAGCUUUCUUAGGUUAAGAUGCCCCAAAAUAUAUAUAUCUUAUUUUCUAAUCAUGUAACAUAUGCUCUGGAUCGGUCUCAUCUCAUUGAGUUUUAUGUUUUCAUUCUAUUUACUUACUCUUGAGCUGUUCUUUUGGCGAAUCAGCUUACAUGCGCCAAAUCAGAGUCUCCGGGAAAAAAUUGUACCAAGUGCCAAGGCUUAUCCGCUGGAAGCAAUUAUGAAGGAUUGUCGUGAUUACUUCCAGGAAACAAAUAGACGAGUCUCCUUCGAAUAUGCCCUUCUAGGUGUGUGAGACUUGAAGUAAACAAAAUGUCUGUUUUUCUCCCUCAUUAUACCACUUAAUAUAACAGAAGUUAGAAAAAUGAUGAUGCAGCUGGAGUUAAUGACAAAGUUGAGCAUGCGGUGGAACUCGCAGAACUACUCCGUGAAUGGGGUAAAACUUAUCACGUAAAUUUGAUACCUUACAACCCGAUAGAAGGAUCGGAGUACAAGCGACCUUACAAGAAAGCGGUGUGUUACUAACCAUUAAGCGCAUGAAUUCGCUAUUUGGUUUGGUUCUGGAUUCAAAGCCUCAAUUAAUUACAGAUAAAAAAGUCUGUAAUCGCUUCUAUUAACCAAAAUGUGCAGGUCCUAGCGUUUGCAGCUGCGUUGGAGUCGCGUAAGAUUACUGCUAGCGUAAGGCAAACAAGAGGACUCGACGCGAGUGCUGCUUGUGGUCAGCUGAGGAAUAAGUUUCAGAAAAGCCCUUUACUUGCUGAGACGGAUAGUCAAGAAUCUCAGCCAGAUGCAGAAGCUGUCUCGUGCUGAUGUCCUGGAUUCCUGGAUCGCACAAUUCUCUGGUUUUGCCGUUUGAUGGCUCUGUUCAUCUAUGUUUUAAAAAGGAGACGGGCAUGGCUCAAUGACGAAAUGAGGAUGAAGAGAUUGAAGCACAUUUGAGAAGUGAGGACUUCGACAAUAGCUUUAUAUUGUAUGUUCGGCCUAUACGUUUGUGAUGUAUACUUUGGUUUAUACAAGCGAGUCAAUUUAAGAAGUGUUAUCAAAUGAAUGAUAUUAACAGACAUCAAAUUACAAAAUCAAUACAAGUUUCAAAUUGAUAUGGCUUGAAUUUUAAAAUAUAAUUCAAAAGGUCUACUGAAAUAUUAUACUCUUUUCCUUACGAUGCAAAAUAAAAUAUGUUAUGCUUUCAUCUCCAUGGUCGAUUUCGAAUGGGUAAAAGAAAACUUGUAUAAGUGAUUGGAAAGUGAAAACAGAAACAACAUAUAAACUUAAAUUCCCUUUCACCAUAUCAAAUAUAAUAAACAAGAGAAUUUACAUAAAAGACAAAUAAAAUUACAUCAGAAAAAAUUACAAAGUUGCAAAGCAAUACCAAGCUCUACCAUUUUUUUUUUUGCAUAUCCUCGAAUAUGUUUCAUUACAUAAUAUAAGUUUUUUAAUAAAGUAAUUGUAUCAGCAACUAUUACUUAAAUAAUAUAACCUAAAACAUAUUCAUGCAAUAUCAAUCGAUUUAUUUUGCAUAUCCUAGAAUAUGUCUAGGACUUUCUCUAGAUCGGUUUAUUUUAGACAAACUAUUCACUACAUCUACCGAUUUUCUUCUCAAACUAGAGAUUGUGGUAAGCUAUGUUGGACUUAGAAUAAUUUUCAACUAUUCAAUCAAGCAUAACUACCUUAAUAAUCUAGUAAAUGGUUAGAGGUAGGUAGAUAGACUAUUCGCUUGGAGAGAAAAAUCACGACAAAACAAUGUUGGUUCAUCUUUAAAAAAGAUCUCAAUAUUCCGACGGGACGGGGCGAAACAGACACAUGGCUGGUGAAAAAGGGACCCCAACAUGGAAAAUAAGACCAUGAACCUAACUUCUCUUAAACGCUAUUCCAAUCUAGCUCCUAGACGACACUAAGUAAACGUAAGUACCUUCCUGUUGAGACAAGACCAUGACUCGAUCUAACCGGCGGAAUCAGAUCUUAGAAUUCAUAUCAGCUUUUGUGUUAAGAUGGAGUUACAGAUCGUACUUGCAAAGCUAGACGGCGCUCUAUUUUUGGGUAUUAGACGUCUGGCUUAGCCGUUUUAGGUUUAGGUUUGUGAGGUCGAGAGAUGGGUUUAUAUAUAGUCCCAAGGUUUCCCUAUUGGAUUUUUUUUUUAAUUAUUAUGUAAAGAGUACAAAGCCUUUUCGAUGAAACUGAUGUACAAUGGUAUUAGUACUAUAGUAUUUAAGUUGGGUAUAUUUAGUAAAACUGUUUUUGACUCUGUGCAAUUUUUUAAAUCCGAAAAUAUAUUGAUUCUUGAGAUUUUUAGAAGAAAAUAUUUAAAAUUUUGCAAGUAUAUUUAACUUAAAAUACAAUAUAUCUUUGAAUAAGAAUCCCAUAUUUUUGUAAAAAAGGUAAAGUAUAUCAUGAAGGAAAAAGAAGAUAACAAAUUCAUAUUUUUUAUUUUAUUAAAUAUUUCUUGGUCGAAUAAUUCUUUCUCUCUGCUUCUCGACUAUAAAAAAAGGUAAAGUACAUCAAGAAAAAAAGGAAACAAAUUAAUUUUUUGAUUUUAUAAAAUAUUCCUGGUUUGAAUAACUAUUUCCCUUGUUUCUCAAUUUGAAAUGAGUAACUUUAUAUUUUAUAAAAUAUUCAUUUCAGUUUUAUCAUUAACUGCGCUAGAAAUUCUAGCCUAGAAUCCAGACAUUCCACGUUUUACCAUAUACAAUAUAUAUCAUUUUAUUUAAAAUAUGUGUAAAGUUUUGUGUGUGUCCAGUGUUGUAUUUAGCUACGUAAUUGUUUGUAGUAAAUUUUGGUCAAUAAAAGCAAAGGUCAAAGCAUUCAGAAAAAUAGUAAUUCCAGAUUUUUUAUUUUUUUUAACUGAAUGUUCUAACUUGGGAAUAAAGCGUCUAGUGUUGAGUGUCGAGUCAAUCAUGAAGCUUUCCUAAUUAGGUGGAACAUGUUUUGUAAAAUGAUUAGAUUGGUCUUUAUUUUCUGGAUAAUAACCGGUGGUUACUGGUUAGUGGCUAAUGUGAAACUGAAAUUUCAUAGUGCUUCAUAUCUUUUCUAUUUCCUUUGGGAUAGUCAUUCAUUUUUUUCCACCUCCAUGCUCCAUCAUUGCUCUAGGAUUGCAUCUUCUUCUUAGGUAGAUCUAUUGUUUGGUUUCUUGAAGUUUUAUUUGGGUUAGUAUGCUUUUAAAUCCAUGAUUCGGUGGUAUUGUGGUUUCUAAGCUCAGAGAUUCUGAUUUGUUUUUAUUUUUUUACCUUUGAUGCCGUUUUAAAUGUGUUUGAUUUCAUUUUACAUGAGAUUUGUUUCUAAUGUUUUAUCUUCUCGAAACAUGUUUGAUUAUCAGUUUCAAAUGUUACUAUUCUUUCAAAGACAACACCAACUUAGGUCACAAACAUUAAUAACAAGAAUUAUGAAGCACUGGUUAACAUAAACGUUAAUAAUGAACAAAGAAAAGAAAUUUUGCAAUUAAUAAUGAAACCAUAAACAACAUAAGGCUCGGCCUAAAGACUGGUACAAAUACAAUGAUGAGAGAAAAUUACAAGUGAAAAAAACUGAUGUAUAUGAUCUCUUAGACAUACUAACAUACCAUCUUAACUUCCCACAUCUCCCUUCAACAUAUUUGCUUCAAGUCUUGCAAAAUCACAUGAAUCAGUGAUUAUCUUUGACAUUAACAACAUCAAAAUCCAUCUUACUUUUCCCUCCUUGCUCUCUUUGCAUAUCAUCAUGUAUCGAUGAUGUCUUUUGUAAUUUCUUCAUUACAACCAUGUAUCUCUUACUCUUUUGCAUAUCCUCGAAUAUGUCUAAUACUACAAAGAUCAUCAAGAUCUAUCUUACUCUCUUGCAUAUCCUCGUAUAUGUCUACUAUCUUAACGAUUAUCAAGAUCCAUCUUACUCUUUUGCAUAUACUCGAAUACCACUAAAGUUUUUUUGUCGGUAUCUAUAUAGGAUUUAUGACCUAUGUUUCUACCAUUCGAUCAACUAACCUACAACUUUUUUAUUAUAGAAUAGGCUAAAACAUAGAUCUAUAUCCCAUUUCUACCAUCUGAUCUACUCAAAAUACCCUCCAUAAAUCUUCCAUUUGAGAUAUAGUCCAUUGAACAACGUAUUUCAAGCUACGGGAGCUCAAAAUAUAACCGAGUUUCAUCAUCUCAAAACUUUGACUUUCUCAAGAUAUAUAGAAUAUGGAUAGUUUGAGUAUCACCAUUCGCUUGGAGAGAAAAAUCACAAAACCAUGUCUUGUCAACUUAAAAACAGCAGUAUGUAUUCCAAUGAAACCAAAAACAGAGAGGAAGGAGACAAGACAGACGCAUGCUUGGUGACAAAUCCAUUGUAUCUUCGAAGAUAUUAUCAUUAACCAACUUGUAAAUCGUACUCUCACUCCUAAAUCCUAAUCCUAGCGCUACAGAAGAUGCUAUGCUACCUACCUAAAAGGAAGAACUAGUUAUAAGAGUACCUUUUAGUGGGACAAGAUGUUGAAUCAAUGUACCAACAGAAUCUGAUCUUGAAAACCCAUCAAUGUAACAGCAGAUUCAGAACUUUGAAUCCAAGACAACUUUUGUGUUUCACCAAAGUGGCUAUUUUCUCGAUCUCUUUGUAAGGACAGGAAUGAGCUUGGCGGCGCUUAUGUUUAUUUUUCUCCGUUUUUUUCUUUUUGUGACGUCACGACUAGGUUUAGCUUUCUGAGAAGUCAUAAGUGUCGACUGUCGAGUAACUUGGGUUUAUAUUAGACGUUUCCGUAUGCAUUUUUAAAUUUUCUACAAUCAUAUAUAACAUUAAAAUUUGAGAAGUAACAAACCCUUACGACAUUUUCCUAUGAACAUAUAUUUUUUUUGGACAUCAUUGUUCUACAAACUUUUUAAAUAUAGAUACAUAUGUAGUAUGGUUUAGUGUUGAUUAGGAGCCUUAAUUGAAAUAUUAAUCUUGGGCCAGCUUGCUUUUUUUUUUGGUAAAAACUCAAAACAGGCUAGCUGAAAAGAUGAAAUCAAAAUCAGUUUUGGCUGAGAGUUGUCGCUACGGUGAUGGGGUUCACGUCGUGUACACCUCUAACAAACCUGUGUUUCUAAUUAUAGUGGAAGUCUUUUUGUGUUUUUAUUUGUCAUAUGGAUCUGAUCGGCCGUUGUUCCGGCGAGUCUCAUGUGACUUGCAUUAUCCCUUCUUAACAACUUCCUCAAGUGACCAAAAAACAAAAGUCAAUAACAGUUUUUAAUGUUCUUUUAAAUUUUUUGUAACUACUCAAUUCUCCGACCGACCAUUUUAAUGGCUCCCACGUUUCACUCUAAUCAUUCUCUCUUUCUCUACUUAGACCCGUUUCCUUCUUCUUCUAUUUCUCUGAAACUCAUGAAAUUUGAGGAACUACUCAUGGAUGCUUCACAGGAACAUUGUAACAAGAGACAUGACUUAGAGGAAGGAGUAAGCUCCUAUGUUCCUAAAAAGAAAGACUCAAACUCUUUAUUACAACUGUUACUUAUAUGAUUUUGCAGGUAAUGCAUCUUAAAGAGAGACUAGAGGAAGAACAAGCAGUGAAUAAAACUCUACAAGCUGCUUUUCAUGGCUCUGUUGUUUCUCUUCCAAGUAUCUCCUCAUUGUUUCUUCCCCCUCAGGUAAAAAACCAACACUCAUACCUCAUAUAAUACUAUACUUUUUUAAUCAACAAACUGCUAAGAAGUUUGGUGUCUAACAGUUUUCCGAGCUUAUACAAGAAUUAGCCGUCGUGGAUGCAGAGAUUCAAUGUCUAGACCGAAAAAUCGAGGAGCUUAAGCUUAAAAUAUAUUAUGAACAGAGACAAAGGCAUGAUAUGCAAUUGCAUAUGACUGAGCAGAAGAGGACAUUGGCAAGGCAGAGCCAUGUGAGACAGAGUACUUUACCACUGAGACAUGAUCUUCAUCAACGAUCUUUGUCUCAUUGUUACCAACGUUCUACUCUAGACGCUGUCUCAAGUACUCAUUCAAGGCUCUCUUUCUCUUAUGCUCCAGAUUUCUUGGAUGCCACGUCUUCAGGUGGCUUCACAGGUAAGUAGUUGCUAAUUUCCGAAUGUAUUAUAUAAGCUGCACAUGUCUCAAAUACCGGGAAAAAUUAAUGAGUUCGGAGAUUUCACUCAAGGUCAUGGUUUUGGUGGGCAGAUGAAUUUGAUGGAGUGUCGAGGAUGCAGAUGGGUAGAGUAAGAAAAGGGCUUCGACUUGUGGAAGUGAAGACCAAAGACGACCCAAACGAAGUAUCUGAACAACUCAUCAACUGUCUCAUAGGCAUUUACUUGGAACUCAAUCAUGUUUCAUCAAAGACCAAAGGGGAUGUCUCGCUUUCGAGAAGGCCCUCUUCUUGUAGCCGGAAAUCAAACACAUAUAGUUAUUAUCAAAAUGCAAUGAAUCUUGAUCCUUAUCACGUAUUGCCAGACUCGAACGGGUCAGGAGUCACCAGAGACAUAGGCCCUUACAAGAACUUCAUCCACAUUUCAAGAAGCUCCAUCGAUGUGACCCGUUUCACCCACUAUUGUUCACCGGCUGUUCCACGCUUGAGGUCUUACAUUUCAAAAUUUUAAUUCACCAUACAAAAUGAUCUCAUCAAAAUAGUAUAUAUAAUUCUUGAUAAAAUUGUGUUUAUUGACGCUUUCUGUGUGUUAGCAGUGACUUGAUGGAGAAACUAUCGGAGGUAGAUUUGAGUUUUUUGACAUACAAGCAAAAACUCGCCUUUUGGAUUAAUAUCUAUAACGCUUGUAUCAUGCAUGUACGCCACAUUAACAAAUUAUAAAUUAUUGAAACUUUUUUUUUAUAAGAUAUAUAUCACAGAAAAUGAAAUUAAAGUCGAAUUCUAUGUUCCAAUGAUAGGCAUUUCUUGAGUAUGGGUUACCUUCGUCUCACAAUAGACUACUUACCUUGAUGAAUAAGGUAACUUUUUGAUCAAAAUCCAAAGAGAGAACUCUAAAAUCAUCUUUAAUUGUAAGGAACUUUCAAACCUAAUGAUGGCCUUUGUAUGUUUUUGGCAGGCUUCACUCAACGUCGGUGGUAUAGUCCUCAACGCUCUGGCGAUUGAACAUUUCGUCUUGCGACAUCCAUGUGAACCAGAACAUGUAAGUGCAUGCCAUCUCAACAACUCAUACCUCUAAAUAUAUAAUUAAUUAGCACAAGAAGCUAAUUAAUCAACAUCUUCAUAAAAGGACUCGCUUGAUGAGAAAGAAACUCUCCUCCGACACACUUAUGGUUUAGGCUAUUCAGAGCCUAAUGUGACAUUUGCGCUUUGCCGUGGAAGUUGGUCUUCACCAGCAGUAAGUAGACAAACAUAGUUUAUCUUAAACGGUUAUUGCUCCUUUUUUUUUGUUAAUAUUAAAUUGUUAUUACUCUAGUGUCUAUGAAUAAUGAGAUUGGUAUAUUCAUUCAUGUGUAGCUUAGAGUUUAUACAGCAGAUGAGGUAGUGAACGAUUUAGGGAGAGCAAGGGUGGAGUAUUUAGAAGCCUCCGUGGGAGUUUCAAGCAAGAAAAAGAUUGUGGUUCCACAGCUUCUGCAAUGGCACAUGAAAGAUUUUGCAGAUGAUAUAGAAUCCCUCUUGGAAUGGAUCUAUAGCCAGUUGCCUCGAUCAGGGAACCUAAAGGGCAUGAUUAUGGAAUGUUUGAAGAGAAAAGCAAAAGUCCCUUUAGCUAAAAUGGUAGAGAUUCAAACAUAUGGACACGAGUUUCGUUAUCUAUUGUCAUUGUAAAUAUUGAGACAUCCAUAUGUGUAGUCUGUAGAAUAGAACAACAAUGUUUGGUAACUUUUUCUCUCGUUAGUUUGCUAUUUUAAACAAAUACUAAAAUAUAGUUUGAUAUGACAAAUUAAUAUUCGCGAGAAAAUUCAACAUGUUUGAAUAAAAGCCGCGAAAUUUACUCCGAUGAUUUCAUCAAUUAAAAAAGUAAAGUAAUACUAUAAAUUAUUUUAUUUUUAAAUUAUAAUGGAAAUGAGUAUAAACUUUAGCAAAAAUUGUAAGUGGAGAAGACAUGUUCCGUUCAUAUCACCGUAAAGGAAAAAAUGAAUAACAAGUAGAACAACGACUUGUGGACUUAUGUUAAGUCUUGCAUCAAAUGCUGUCGGAAACACUUCCUUUUUUUUUUUUGAACUUUUUAAUACAUCGAGGUCAAAAAUCAAAUCCCACUUAUUAAAGGCAAUUUAAUAGACCAAUAGCCAUUGAAAUGUUCUCGUUUCUUUUCUUUUCUUGACGUCAAAAUUAUUCUUGGUUUCUAAGUGGGAUCCCCGUGGAUCUUACACUAUAACAUGCAUUCACUUUAUUUCGUAACAGAAUUAUCUAAUGGCGUGUAAGAUUAGUAAAAGCAGAAGAUUAGUAAAAAGAGGUAUCAUAAUACAACCAUGUUUCUUUUUGGAUUACACAGAAAUUAAACGUUACAAGUUGUAACUUACAACCCAACGAUGUAAAACACGUUAAUAGCUGCGGGCUGUUACAAAAUUUUCUCACAGCCACUUCAGCUACUCUCACUUUCUCUCCCACAUAUCCCCCCUUUACCCACUCACACAAAAUUAAAAACACCAAACCACAAAAAAAAAGUGAAAACACACACAAAAGUCAAAGAUACUUUCACCUUCUCUCCUUUUCCCAUAUACCAUAAAAUUAAAGGAAAAUAAAUAACUAAAAAAAAGGAGGAGGAAUAGCGAAAUUAGCGGAGAGUUUUCUUUUGUCUCGAACCACUUUAAUUAUAUAUUUCGAUUUCCUCCAAGUUUUCGAGUUUCUCGAAACUCGGUCUUAAACCCUGAAAUUCUUCCCGACAAAGGUUUGACCAAACUGCCAGUUAGAAGGAACCAUGUUCCACGAAGUAGAUGUCCUACGGUCACUGCCCGUGACGCGGAACGAGAGUGCCUGACCAACCAGAACAGCGUUGGAUUGCCAGUUUUGACCCCAGUUCCUGCUCAAACUCAUCCAACCAGUCCGUGAACCUUUCACGUUUGCCCUCACUAUGUCUCCUGCUCCAGCCACGUUUGUGAUCAGAACCAAGUUGAAGUAACGGUGACCGUUGAUUGUGAACCUUAUUCCUCCUCUCUUUCUACAUGGCACUCUACAAAAACCAACAUUUCACACUCCUUUUAGUCAUUCACACUUAACACACACACAAAAUGCUUCUAAUUAAGUGUGAUUUGUAUGAGGGUUUUGACUUCAACUAGUAUUAGUUCAAAAUAUUUAAUAUGUAUUAAAAAGUAAUCAUUUGGUAUUUAUAACUAAAAGUUCAAAAUAGAGAACAAAAAAAAUGUUAAAUAUAGCAUCCACUAAUUAUUUUUAGCCGGUUAUUAUCUAGAUAUUGCUAAUUGUGUUGUAAAUAUUGGCAAGACCCUAGAGGACGAACAUGUAAACCAAGAUGUGUACCUGCGGUAUGAGACAGGGACAAUGCCGGCGCGAUAUUGAGCAAUCUUGAGGAAGACAGGCAUGGCUAGGUCGAAGUGUUCACGUGGCGGGUUGCACCAUCCUCCGUUGUCGCUGGGCUGAGCCAAGUUUGGUGGGCAGAAAUUGGUUGCGGUGAUGAGGAUCGAAGGACUACCAGAGUGGCACCAUUGAGGGUCGUUGGCGCAUUUUAGCUCAAAGCAGGCUCCACAGCUCAUACCGUUGUUAAACAGCGCCGUGCUCAAAGCUGCCGUGUUGGUCCCGUACCCUUGGCUGUAUAGGUUACCGUAACCACACGCUCCUCCUGUAAUUAAACCCAUUUUAUUGAACUUCCAAAAGAUAAUUAAUAAAGACUCUUUUAAAGUUUUAAUGCUCUGUUUUUGUGGACUUACCCAUAGUGCCAGAGGCGUCACUGCCACCGUAGAAAGUGGCGUGUGCGUUUUGCCACGCACCGCCGGAGUAAACGCCGGGGAUUCUAGCGUCGGCAAGGCUAAAAAGGACAAAUGUGGUAAAUAGAAUUGCAAGUUUAAUAGCCAUUUUGUGUGUGAAUUAGAGAGUUAUAAAUUGUACUAUGAGGGUUUUGAUGACAAAAGGAGAAAAUGAAGAAAGAAAGAAAGAAAGAACAAGAGCGCCUUCGAGCUUGCGCUCUUGUCAAGAGAAAGAGUUAGGUUUGUUAAUUGGGAGAUGGAUGAGGAACAAAGUAGUGUGAGAGGGUUCGGUAUUUAUGGAGGGAAGGAAACUCCAAUGUUAGAGUAGUGAGAGAUAUUAUUGGCUAUGCACUCUUUUUUUUUUUUUUUUUUUUUUGUCAAAAUUAAACUUUUAAAUUAAGAUUACUAAUUCUACGUAAGGUGGAGGUAGGUUUGUUUGUAACCGUUUUGUCAUAAUUUAUAUAUACAAUCUCUUUUUUUUUUACAGAUAAUAUAAUGAUACUUUAAAAAAUUAUCUCAUUGAUUCCUGGAUUAAAAAAAUUGUGCGACGACUUAAAUUCUUGAUAAUUGUUUUUUGUUUAAAGAAACUUUUCAAAAGAAUAUCGAGUUGACCUUUAUUUGAAGCGUUUUCAUACUUAUGAUGGUACGAGUUUAUACUAUUUUUAUAGUUGAUGCAAGUGUAAAAUUAUGCUUGUUUUGCUGACCAAAAUAAAUGCAAACAUUAUAGAGCCUUUAAUAUAUGUCUUUUUUGACUCUGCUUGUUUAUUUUCCACUUCUUUUAAUUCACUUACGCGGGUUGUCUAUUUUGAAGGUGAAAUUGUUAUAUGCAAAAUACCAUGAAUCUAUAUACAGAUUCUUUCUUCUUUUUUUUUCUUGAAAUUAAUAAUUCUAUAAAGUAAUACACUGAUGGAAAACAAACUAGUACAUUUCUAUAAGAAAUAUGCGCUCUUGAAUAAAGUGAUGUCAUAUAACUUAUAUAAUAUAAGAAUCUGUGCAUGCAAAAUUCAGACACAACCCAAAUGCGGUCAGCUCAUAGUUCAGUGCUAUACACUCCAAGUUUGGUUUUGAAUCCGCCACAAAUAAUAUGAAAUCUGGUCUGAAAUAUUGAGAUAUAUGAAAAUUACAGAGCAUAUAUCCAAAAUAAUAAAGGAGUUUGCAGUAAGUGUGAGUUUUAUUGGCUAAUGAGAGUACUAUACUACUAUUACAAAUCGGGUUAAGUAAAAAGGAAUAUAUAUGGUUUGCUUAAAAAACAAGUUGUAGUAGCAAAGCAUCAAUCACGAACGGGAUUUGCUAAGCUCAACACUCAACAGUAUCGCCAUCAUUACUUCCCUUGCUCCUUUUUAUUGGUCAAAAACACUUUUUUUUUCUAUCUUCUCAUGCAUGCCAUUGCCAUUUGCCACUACUUUUACAAAUCUAAUUUUGCCCAAAACUCAAUACAAACCUCAAUUAUUAAUCAUUCGUUAUGAUAAGUACUACUAGUCUCAUUUUUUACCGAAUUACGUUCCGAUUCAAAAUUUGUAAUUUAUUUGCAGUGUUUUACUUUUACAUUGCCGCCAAAUUAUAUACCCUCUACUUUAGGAAGAGGUAGAGAAAUUAAAGACUCCCCCACACUUACAUAGAAAAAAGGAAUUUUUAUUUAUUCUGGUUUUGUAGUUUGUAAUGAAAACAAGUUUCAAAAAGAAGGAAAAAUUAAAAUAUGGACCCAUAUUUGCCGCAUUCAUCGGACCACGUAUUGCGCCGUGCAUUAGCCGUACGUAAAGUGGAUACACCCGACCCGACCCGAUAUCACUCGGAUCUAUCCGGUCAAUGUUUUUAUGUCACGAAACUGUCUUUCAAAGAGAUCAGCUUUCUCCACUUCUUAUUAGUUUCUCACUUGAGAAUAGUCAAAGCCUCCGUUCAUAUCUCUCCCUCGCUCCUCCGUUCAACAUUUCUUUACAUAUUUAAUAUACUUCAUCAGUAAUAUUUUGAAGAAGAUGGGAUCCAAGAAUUUUUGUGUAUGAAAUUAUAAACAUAAACUAGUUUACAAGUUUGAAAGCUUAAGAAGUAAUGGACGACUAUAGAGUUAGACUUUAGUGUUUCUCUAUAUAUAUUUUUAAAACAUCCCAUCUUCAAUUAUGACUAAGUAACAUCUCUAAUUAAACUACUACUGAUUAGCUGUAAUUGAGCUACAUGAUCUUAUAUAUAUAUAUAUAUCUAUUGUUGGAAAAAAGAAGAUGCACACUAACUGAUCACUUUAAUCUUUAUGUUUCCGGCGCGCGACGCGACCAUCAUCAAAAACAUCAAAACCUAAAUAGUAAUAUAAAAUUAGACGAUCGUUAGUAACUUAGUAUCAAAUUCAAGUUAAUGUCGUUAGGUUUUUCCCUAAAAAAUAAAAUAAAAAAUGAGAAUAGCGAAAUUUGGAAAAAGAGGAAAUCAGUUAAGAGGCGGUGACCGAGAGAAGAGGAUGACAAGGCAUAUCUAUGCACCAACCAGAUCUUCUUGUAUCUACCACGUCAGCCCAAUCUGCGCCAGCUUCUCACAUCUGUUUCUUUCUUCUGUCUGAUUUUUAGAUUUUCUAAAAUUGUAACCAUACGUCAUACACUGAUACGUCCACGUAUCGCAGGUGUCUGAUUGUCUGAAUAGCAGGUGUAUCCGUAGACCGUAUGUAUGAGAGUAUGUAUAUAUAAGAAAUAAGAUAUUUGUUUUUCUUUUUAUGUUCACAUAUGCGUUAUGUUUAUGAAUCCAGUUUAUUGCGAAACAUCAACGAAGACAUAGUUUUACUAUUUUACCUAAUCUGGCGACGUGUUGGUAGAAUACAAUUUCCGGAAUUAUCGAUUUAAUGAAUGUAUUUAUAUGUGUACAUCCAAAAUACACAAGCAAGCAUAUAUAGUAAGUAGCUUGGGAAGCCUUUAUUAUUUUAUCGUGAGAACACAAAUGCACUUGCAUGUGAAUUAAGUAUCUACCACUCCUCUCCCAACGAAUUCACGUCUUUACAUUUAUUUCGUUUCAGCAUGAAAACAUCCAUUAAUAUUAUUCAGCUUCUUUUAUUUUAAAAAGUAAUAUCGACUGAAACGGACUAAAUUAAUAUGCCGUAUGAGUAUAAUUUAGGUAUAUAGCCAUCGACUGAACCAAAACAUUGCUUUUAUAAGUGAAACCAUAUUAGCAUUUAGCAAGCAGUACCUGCAAACUAAUCAAUCUGGACCAGCUUAUAUUUCUAUAAACCAUAACCCAAACUAUUUUUUAGAAAGAAAAAAAUAUAAUAUUUUAUAUUUUUUUUUUAUUAAUAUGGUUAAAUACAAAAUGAUGGUCUUUCUUAAUAAUGGCUAUAAUUAUACCAAAUAUAAUCUAUACAUGAGUAGUGUGAAUGUUCAUUGAGUUGUAUAUUUAAUACUUAGGCGUAAGAUAUAAGUACGUGUAGAUUGCUGAUUGAGCUACAUUCACGCAACACAUUAUAUCAUUACCAAAUUCUUUUAUAUAUUAGUUAAAAGUAUAAUUACAUAUAUCGUGCAUCUAGUUUAUAUAUUUCUUAUACCGACAAUAUAGUCUAUUUACAUAACAUUUUCGCCACAGAACAAACAUAUCAUUUGAAAUCUUCAAUGAGAAUGAAAAAAAAUUGUAUACCUUACCAGCCAAAAAAAAGAAAAUCUAAAAUGAUAUAUUUUACGCACAUAUUGUUUGUUCUUUAAUCUAAACUUAGUUACACUCUUUUAAGUAUGUAAGAGUAACGAGUAAAUCCUACUCAAAUUUAAGAAUUGAGAACAAUUUGAACAUCAUCUUAUACGAGAGUACCGUGGGGUCGUGAAUCAUGAGUUGGUAUAUAUAAGUGGGGGAAAGAGAAUUUGUAAUUGCCAAAAAAGUUAAUUGAAACCACACAUGCUAUGUCCACAACCACAUUGUAAGAAAGAUUCCCCUCGAAACCUAGCUAGCAAUAAAAACAAGGAGAUCUAUAGUUCUUUUUUUUCCAUAAAAUUCAAUUUACAAACAGAUAAGUUAACACAUUUUCUUUUGACAGCAUUUUCAACGAUUAUAGAAACAUCGUUAAAAAAUAUUGAAAUUUGCACUAGUCAUUAAGAAGGUUGAGAGACUUUAGCGCAUACUCUUUAAUAUAAGCUAUUUUCGAUACUAAAUUACUAACUAAAUAAAGUAAACGCUACUUCAUAAUUCCCAAUGGAAAAUUUGGGCAAGCUAUGGUGACAUAUUGGGGGGAGGGGGGGGGGGGGGGGGGGGGUCUGUGUCUAAAAAAAUAAGUGGAUUCCUUUGAAACCACCACGUGAGGUCAGUAGAAAAACAAACAAAUAAAGGAAAACAUGUCAUGCAGAGAUUGGUGAUAUCAAAAGAAGAAGAUCUCGUGGCUACAUAUGUUAAAAGGGUUUGAGAUUUCAUGAUGUUACGUUCGAAGAGGAUAUGAUGACGAUUUGCAACGCGAGGAGUUUUUGUCGCUUCAUGGUUGCUUUAGCAUGGUUUACUCUGUCAUGUAUAUUCUCGAAGACAUUUCUAAAACAGUUAAUAAGAGUGAGUUCUGCACCGACACUCUAAGGAAGUGAUAGACAAAUGAUUUUCGAAAUAAAAAUACUUAGUGCUUUCAUUCAACAAUGAAUUUUCGAAUAUAUUAUAUAUACUAGAAGAUUUGAUAAGUUUUUAGUUGAUAUACAUGGCUAUGAGUGAUAUAAAAACUUAAUAAUUUGGGCGCCUAGCUAGUGGUGAUGAGAGUAUAGAGUUAGGUCCUUCCAAAAAAGGGUGUAGUCUGGUCUUACUGAUUUGCGUUUCGAUUUAAAAAGAGCUGUCUAUUUCCUACGGAGACAUGUAUAAUAGACUUCGGCCACGGUUUUCUUCGAUUAAAUUAUUUCUGUUUCCAUUUAGUUUACUACUAUAAAUUUCUAUUUUAUGUUUUUUGCUACUAAUAUGGAUAAAUCAUGAAGUUUAUACUAUUUUAUAGUUGAUUAAGUAAAUAUAGUAGAGUUUAAUGAAAUACCAUUUUUUAAUGGAGAAAUGUUCUAAAAUAUUAUCUAAGUUAGGAAUAGAUCAGCUUUUCAUUAUUAUUUUUUAAGUCGAUAAAGAUUGGGAGUUUACACAGAUAUUAUAACUUACAAGAAAAUUUAAAGCUAAUGUUGGCAAUUUGUAAUAUUUUUGAAAAUAGACAUGGAGUGAUACUACACAUUUUCGGCACUUUUAACAAACCUCUCAAUUAAAUUUGAAAUAGAUCAUCGCCACUUGUAUAAUUUCCCUCGCGCAUGCUAUAGCCAAUUUAGGGGCUCUAGUAAGAAAAAAGAAAACGUUCGAUAGAGUAAUCAAUCAUCUAAUAUAAAAAGUUAAAAACCCUUAAUUUAAGGUUAAGGGAUUGGACCAAAAAGGACCAUUGCUAAAUUUGUGUCUCCCUUUUACAUGCAUCGAUGUCUCGCACUCAUACUGAUUAGGCUUUACGCAACACUCUCUUUUUCCCAAAGAUUAGAUCCCAAGUUUUGUCACGCAAAGCAAAAUUUGGAAUCCUAUAUAUUUUGUGUUCACCUUUAUUUUAAAAAAAAAUAUUUUCAUUGGAUUCCUUUAUGUAUAUUAAUAUGGAUAACAGCUGAUAAAACUAUUUUCUCCAACAUCAUCAAACUUUAUAUUUUGUUCGUCUAGAAUCUCUACGUAGUGAAUUAUUGAUCCUUUUGGACUACUGUCAGACUGAUACUGUUAUUGCAAUUGAGUCUUUCUUUCAUCAGUCGAUAAAUUAUCAGUAAAUGGUGAACUCUUGUAUCACCGCAUUCACAUUAAUAAUUUUUCUAACCAAAAUGAUAAAAGAGAAUAAUAUCAAGCUUUACUAGUAGUGUUGAUUGGGAAUAUCUUGUUAUAUACUUUUAUUACGAUAUAUAUAUGAGCACGUUGCACGUACGACGGUGUUGCUUAAGAAACAAGCCAAGUUAUAUACUAAUAUAGGACAUGCACUGAUUUGCUUUGUCUUCAAAAAGUACCUAUCAACUAACUUAACUUCCAAUGACGUUAUCUUUUUAUUUAAGUUCACUUGGCUCCGUAUAUGAUUUGUUUCUUUAACUUGAGAUUCUCAGAAACCAACAUCACCUUUAUUCCCAUUUUGUUUUUUUGUUUGACAUUUUGAUAGUUUUUUUUUCCUUUGGAGUCAACCAACUGAAUAUUGAAAUGACUUAUUAUUAUCAGUUCAACGGCCGAGAAAAAAAGCUUGAAAGACAAGUUAAUUAGCAAGCGAAUGACCUAGAACACUUGCUUCUCUCGGAAUUACAAAGUCAAACUUGACCAUUCAAAAUAUGUUGGGGCAAACUUGGAUGUUUUUGCCAUAAAGUUGGUGUUGAUCACUCUCAACCAUCGUCUCUCUGCUGUGAAUUGUGAUACUUAGUCGAUUGUUCAUUUUGUGGCAAACUUGGUCUUCCAUAAACGGAUGAGACGCAUUAAUAGAAAUCUGUCUCCACCACUCCGCAAUUUGUAGAAAUUUUAUCAAAGCUCUUAGAUCAUUUUUUUUUCUUGGAAAUUUUGGACAUUCAUGUUCUACAUACUCGGAUCGGAUGUAACAACAAAUUGAACAUGUAUCCGCAUAUAUAUGAAAAACCUUCUUCUAUUAGUAUUGUCAUUAUGAACUUACAUGUUUUGUGAUUUAUCUUGGUAUCUCAAGAACAUGUACUCUUCUCUUGCGAAUAAGAUGUCAAAUAAUAUCCAAAGAAAUCCAAAACCUAUCUGUAUCAUAUAACUCAUAACAGAUAUCAAAGUGAAAAACGAAAAAAGCCCAAGUGAAAAAUGGAAAAUAUUCGGAAAGGAGUAGCAACGAAUAAAUAAAUGAGGUAUUGGGCCAGAAAAAGAAUUUUCUGUAAUUAUAAUUAAACAAUGCAUGUUAAGCCCAACCAACCAAUAGAAGAGAUCUGCAACCCCAAAAAUAGUAAGAAGGCAAACAUAUCAACAUAAUUAUUAUGCUAGACAGAGAUUGGAUUAGCUUUUUAAUCUCUCUUUGGGACCAUUACUUCAGUUUAACCAAGGCAGACCUAAUUCACCACUGUCAUGCAUCUGAUUUGAAAAUUGAUGUGAGAUAUUCUCAAAAACAAAGAUAAAAAAACGAAGUAAGAUCCUUUGCGUGGUGAAAUGUAGACCAUUGUAUUCGUUAGUUUUAUAUACAUAUAUUUUUCAUAUUUCAUCGACACAAAUUGAAGAAACGGUUACUGUCAGAGGCUCUAAUUUCUAUAUAUAGAAGCGAUGUUUUUAGGUAACCAAAGAUAAUGGUAAUAUUCUCGAUCGGAUUUAACAUAUUUAACCUCGUAACGGUUAAAUUUAUAGCUCACUUAUCGAGAGCUUGGUCUUCCAUAUCUUACUAAGCUAUUCCCAUCACACGAUUCAGAAUUUCGUACCGUCAGAUGCAUAAACACAAAACCAUUCUACUUCAAAAGGACAGUUUCAGUUUUAAGUUAGUAUACUAAAGGUUUAUCAAUUGCGGCAUUGGAACACACGUCUUCUCUACGUAGUGAAAUUUAAUCACAAAAAUAUUAGUUAGCCUUUGAUUUCAAUAAUUACGUGGAUUUCUAUAUCAAAGAUUUUUAAAAACAAAUUUGGAUAUCCUUUUUAAAAAAACUUUAGUAAAAAAUGGAAUAUAUCGUGGCUCUUUUUUAUCCAUAAUAGUCUCUCGUGUCAGAAAUUGCAUGUGAGGAGUAUUAAUAUUCCCAUUCGUUUUCCAAUAUAUAUGAUAAUAUGAACCCAUAUUAUUUUUCUUUCACGCAUGCAUCAUUCAUUAUAUUCACACAUUCAUGUCGAGAAAUCAAAAUGCAACUCUUUUCAUUCUUUAAUAUACCAUAUAACAAACAUUUGUUACUAUUUCUAUGUUUCAUUUCCAGUUUUAUUGGAUGACUCCAAAGAAUUCACUAGAGAAUAAAGAGUCUAAAAAUGCAAUGCCAUCUUAGAAACGUAUCAUAAGUUAUAACGUUCGAGUGUUUCACUUAACCCAUCACUAGCUAACAUAUCGGUUCCUUAUUACUUAUGGAUAGAGAGAGUAAGAAAACAAUGAACAGAAAUUGAACCCGACCGAAGGUAGAAGAACUUAGGGAUCGAAGAAGAUAAGUAAGAGAGGUGAGCACGUGCUUUAGAGUUUGCAGAUUCUCAUCGUGCAAGAGAUAGGUUUGACCGUUGACCGGAAAAAAAGAAGCGCCGGUAAGCGGGCUAAGUCGGUCCCGUGCGUUACUCGAAACCUCGCUUUCACACAUCUCUACGGACACGUGUCAGUGGUCACGACCACCUGUUGGCCGCACGUGCCCUCAACGUCGACGCCAAAAGAACCACAACGAUCUCUUCUCUUUUGACCUCUGCUUUGUUUCCUUUCUUUGCUCUCUCUCUCUCUCUCACUGUUUAUUAUUUUACUAUUACACAUCUUUUACAGUUAAACUAAAACUCGAGUGGUGUGUUAAAUGGACUAUGAGAAACGCGAAUAUUAAUAAUUGAGGGCAUAUCAUAGUGAAAGAUUUUUUAGACUAUAAUUAAAUGAGUUGUUUAAUGUAUUAUGUCAGAAUCUGGAAUGAGAGCUGAGCUAGUAUGAGUUUCUUUUUUAUAGAGUUACAUUUUUUGGAAACAUAUAUGACUCAACCAUCAAUACUUCAUUUCUGAAUAAUUUUGAUCAUCAGAAUCUACAAUGGACCUCGUCCAACUAUGGGUAUACAGUUGAAUCAAGAUGUUCCAUAAUAAUAUAUUGCUCUUAAAUUUUCUUUGUUCACUAAACCUAUACAAACUCAUCAUCAUUCCUGAUAUACUUGUAGCAUUGAGCAAGAAGAUAAAAUUGAAUUCCAGUUUCAGGUCACAAGAAUCUAUUUCAGCAUAGUAAUUUUUGCUUUUUUUCUACAUUGACAGUCUUUGAUAGAAAAGUUAUAGAGUUGUCACACUCUUCGACUGUAACUCACUAUGUUUUUGUCUCACCAAAUUUUGUUGGCAUCUAUCAAAGGUUAGUAAAGAAUUCACCCUUUUUGUCAUUUUAUGUUUAAUUGAGCAUAUGUUGGUAAAUUUUCUUAAUUACCAAAUUAUAAAUUAAAAUAGUUAUAUUUACAGUGAACAUGCAGUUAAGUAUACAGGUUGUAGUAUAAUUAUUUUGAAAAAAAAAACAUCAAAAAUUGUUUUACGAAGAAACAUCCAAGAAAAUUCACCGGAGAAAAGUAAGUAACAAACAAACAAGAAAAACUUAAUAAUACAAGUAAAAGUGAGCUUACAAUACACAGACGUCGCAUCCUUUGGAUUGAUGGAUGACACAUUUUGGAUGUACGCGUUUAUGUAUUUAUCUACUUCUGGCGUCUAGUCAAAAAAAAAAAAGAUCAUUUACACAUUUUCUACUUAGUUUUUUUUUGUUCAUACAACACGAAAAUGUUAAGAGAUUUUCAGCAAACUUUGUUUUUGUUUUGUCGCAUAAUAUGUAAGCAUAUAAUCUAUUACUCUAAUAUACACCCCCAAAAGCUUAAUUUAUAAUAUGGUGUUUUCGAUGUAAUGAACAUGGUAUAAUUAAUCUCUCAUUGAAUUCGAGUUUGGAGAGUUUUCAAAUAACAUGUAAACAAAAUUUACUUAUAAACUUAAAGUCUAGUAUUGCUGUAUUUGCUUUAAAUGAUAACUCCCCUUUAAAUUAGUUAAAUUUCAUUUGUUUAAUCUCCAAUUCAUGAAGUUGGACUGUAAGCCCAAUAAUAUUGGUCUUCCACUACCGCUUUGGUUUGUCUCUUUAAUAUUUUUUUUAAACCUUUUUAACUAAACCAAAUAAAAAUCAGUUUACCCUCCAAUUGGUUUAUUUUUCUUAAGUUUAAUUCUAGAUUUAGCGUUUUUAUAGGGUUAAAAGUUGUAUCAGGUUUUAGGUUCAUUGCAAAUCCGGUUGUAUAUUACUCAUGACUUGUGUUAGUCGGGAUUAAGCAUGAAAUACCUAUUGUUAAACUUUAAAAGAAGUGAAAGGAGAAAAAAUAAAGAAAACAAAACAGUUACUUACCAGAAAUGAGAAAAAUACGGGAGGGGAAAGCCAAUAAAAGAAGAACGAGAAGAGAAAGAAACAUCAAAGUCAGGCAAAAUAUAGCAACACUAAAAUAGCCAAACCAGCUUUACUAACACCUCCAUGUGAUUUGAUCUCACAUAUCUGCCUUCCUUCUUCAUCUUUCUGAUCUUAUCUAUCCUUUUUUUUUCUUCUUCUUUUCAUCUCUUCACCACAGUAAAAAUGAAAUAGAUUGUAUAAAAGAUUCAUGAUCAGGUAAAAGAGAUUCAUAGCUAGUUACAAAGAUAAAAAUAAGUUAUAUACACACACAAACACAUACUAAUAAUACAUGAGUGUUACUAUGAAGUGAUAUAAAAAGUAAUUCAUAUUUGUUGUUGGUGCAAUAAUUAAUUGAUCUGAGCAAAGUAAUUAACAGUUACAGGUGCAGAGAGACUGAGAUUUGCUUUGAUGCAUUAAAUCAAGCCUCCUCUUUCACUCUUCUCCUACUCACUCACUCUCCCCACUUUCUGACUUUUUUUUCCUACCCUCUUUAAACUCCAAUUUUCUUUUCAUUUUUUUGUUUUGUUUUGUUUUUUAAUUCAUUUUUGGAAUAGGAGAAUCCCAAAACAUACUGAUCCGAUCUACUUUAACAUUUUCAAUAUUAUCUCUAUCACAAAACUUGAAAAACUUUUAGCACUCAUUUUUUUGGUUACACUGUUAGCCAAGGGAUCUAUCGAACGGAUCAUUUGUAAUAUAUGGUUUUUAUAUUUUUAUGUGUUUAAAUACGGAGGAGCUUAUAGUUUACGUUUCUCAUGAUUUUCCUUUUAAGUAAAAGUAAUAAUAAGAAAGAAAAAAAUCUAUCUCAUAAAGCAUUUGUGUAUGAUGUUUCUAGGAAAUAUACUAAAUUGAUUUUUUAGACUACAAUUUUUUCAUGAUUUUCAAGUGGAGAUUAUUUAUUAAAGUGAAUAUUCGUUUAAAUAUAAUUACAGAACAUAGAUAAAAAUAAGGCUGUAGAUCAGAUUUCAGGUUCCUAAAUGUUGUUGUGAUUUCUUUUUAUGUUUUUGUGAUUUCUUUUAUGUUUUAAGCAAAUUUGUAUUGAGGUUAGGAAUAGCCUUUGUUUGUUCUUUAUUAUGUAAGUAAUACUAAUACGGGAUGAACCCUACACACAAAAAAAACACGAAAUUACAAAUUAAUUUGUCAUUAUUUAUGGUUCGCUAAUAUUAGUGGCUAUAUAUAAAUUACAUCUUUUUUUUUUGUUAAAGUAUAAAUUACAUCUUAUAGAAAAAGGAUUUUAAACACUAAAUAAGUUUGGAACAAAGAAAAGAAGCUUAGGAAUUAGGAUUAUAAAUAUUUGUUUACUACAACAGGUGCGUGACUAUAUCCUCGAAACGUAUCAUAAUACCGUUGGGCUCUUCGAUUCUCACAAGAUAUAAAGUUGGUUUACGUAUAGUUUUCUAAGAAUAUUUUUCAUUAAAAAAAUCGUAAUUAGUUUGGAUUUUUCCUCUUUUUAUACUAUAUGAUUUUAAUUGAGGUGUUUAGUUUUAAACUUUAAAGACAAAUCCAUUCACAAGUAGUAUAAUAAAAGUGGUAAUGGUGGGGGCAAUCGAGGCACAAGAACAACAACAAGGCCCCGGGCAAUACCGACUGCCACAACUCUCUGCAUCCUCUUCCAUUUUUUUUAUUUUUCACUAAAACCGACAUAAGAAUACAAAUACAAAACCAAAAUUUUAUUUAUCUUUUGAUAUUAUUUUUAUCUUCUUUAUUUGUUAUUUUGACGCCAUCUCCUUUAUUUUAUUUUAUUUUUUUCUAGAUCGAUUAUAUAUUUUCUAUAAAAAAAAAUCCAUUAUAAAUACAGAACCCUAACACUCUUGUUCCGUUGCUGACUCAGAAAAAAAAUCUCCAAACUCCGAGAAAAUCUCCAAAUUCCCAAGUUUGUUUCUUCUUUUUCAUCUCACAACUUCAUCUAUUUCCAACGAACCCUUAUUAUCUUUCUUUUUUUCUUCUCUUUAUCGGUGAGAUCGAUCACAACACCAGCAAAUAGUAUCUGAUAAUCUGAGAUCUUUCUUUAAACAUCAAUGGCGUCUUCGUCAGGGCUGGCUCGAUCGGGAAGCGUCCACCUUGACGAGAAGUGGAAACUGUCCAAGAAAGACGGCGGCGCGUCGAGGAUCACGCGCUCUUCGUCGACCUCAUCUUCUGCCUUCAACGGCAAGAAACAGGGGAGAUGUGCUUUUACGAGGAAGUGUGCGAGAUUGGUUAAAGAACAGAGAGCUCGUUUCUACAUCAUGCGUCGCUGCGUCAUCAUGCUCAUCUGCUGGAGAGAUAAUUACUCCGAUUCUUGAAAAAAACAUAACAGAACACAAAUCUCACUUUAUCUCUGUUUCUAUGUUCUGAAACCGAAGUAGAUAGAUAUACAUGUACAUAAACGGGUUCUAUGUUCUUUUGGUUUCUGUACUUGUUUUAGAUCAAAAUUUUAGAUUUGUUAUGGUUUCUUUGGUUUAAAGAAGCUCUCUGUUUCAGUGUGAAGAUGUUUUCGGGAAAAUAAUAAAAAAAAAAGAACUGAACAAAAUUGUAUGAUAAUAAAGUUGAUGAUAUAAAGUAGUGAAAUUAGAUUCGUCUUUGGACUUCUUGUGACGUUUUGUUUUUGUUUGUUUCUCCUUUCUUUUGUUUUUGUUUUCUUGCAUCUCUAUUUGUUUCUUCUUCUUCUUCAUCUUGUUCAUUAAUGAUAUUACUAAUGUGAUUCUGUGAAGACGACGACGAUCUAAUGAAAUGUAUUGUUUCUCUUUCUCUCUAGAGUCUAUAGAGUUACAAGAGAGGGAGAGAGACAAAAGAUUCCAUUGGAAGUGUUACAAUUAAGCUAUGUGUGGAUCUUGUGUGCUUAGUCUGACAAAGUUUUUAGUUUUUUUUUUCUCUCUUUUUUAGUAAAUAAACAAUUAUUAUGGUUUAUAUUUUUAUUUAUUUUUGUUGUGUCAAUUAUUGAAUUCAAUAUUUAAAGUUGCAGUCAAGCUCUUUUGUUUAUGGGUAAUGAUAGUAUUAAAAAUUAAUUAAACUUGUCGAAUUGUUUAAUUAAGUGAGACUAGGCCAUCAUUAGACUUCUUCAAAUGUACAUCAAAAGAUAUUAGAAUGUGUUAAAUAUGAUUACGACUUCCUUUUAUAAUUAUACUAAUGCCAAGGCGUUUAGAAUAUAGUUAUUUGGAUUAGUGCUAUUUCGUUGCUGAUGACAUUGAAUUUUUUUAAUGCGUAAUAGUUUUUUGUUUGAGGUUAACAUAUUUGUUUCUUCUCAACUAAGGGAGAUUUUUUAUUGGCUAAUAUGGGAGGUGAAUUUUUCUUUUGAUGAAAGGAAUAAUCACAGCAAGACACGUGGAUUAUAUCUAUUUAGCUAUCUGGUUUUCAAUUAUAUGUUUUCUUGUGUUUUAACUUUUCAGUUACAAUACUUACUGACCUUCAUUAGCUUAGUAGUUUUCUCGUGAAUUGAAAAUUAGCAAUCGGAGUAUGAAGAAGUAAUUGAAUAAUUAGUGGAAACUAACUACAAGUACUAGUUCACAUGGGAAAAACUAACAGCUGGGGUUUCUUGUAGUUUCUUACCAUGGGCAUCUCUGCAUCGCAGAAGCUAUCAUAUGCAUCUGACUCUUUUUAUUUUAUUUUAUACUCUGCAUUUUAACCUAUAUGGCUUAUAUAUUUUAUUUUGCAAGCAAACAAAAAUAAAUGACUGCAAUUGAAGAAAUUCUUUACUAGUACGAAACUGUAUCGUUAGAAAUUAAUUGUGACAUUAACUACAAUAUGAUUUCUUGGGUACACCAAUUACCAAAUCAGUACACGAUGUAAGUCUGCCGAUUCACAAACGAGAUUACCACUUUUAGGUUAUUGGACUUUUAUGAUACAUUUUGAUAUAUCUAUCUUGCUGAAAACAUCGAUAUAUAUGAUUGUCACCGAAAUAAAAAUCAAAUAAGACUAUAUAUUACUUGGGAAUUAUACAUUUAACUGAACCAAUUCCUUUCGACCAAAAAAUAAAAAACUGAACCAAUUCUUUUUUAUUUUUUCCUCAAGAGUGUAAUUAGUCUUACAAAAAUCUUUAACUAAGCCAAAUGUUACACUUUUUCAUAAAGGAUAUUCCAUAUAGUUCGAGAAUCAAAGAGGUAAAAAACUAAAAAGAAUUGGCAAAGAAAAAGCGUAUAUUAGCCCCAUCCCCACAAAUCCAAAGGAUAUUUUGUUUAAAUGAUUAUGAAUUGUUUGAUUUGUUCAUUAGCAUGCUUAAUUUGGAUUAUUAUAGACAUAUCCGGAGUUCCGGACAAAUUCCAUUUGACUCUCUUUAUUCGUUUUGUCACUUUUGUGGCCGUCUUGUUCAUUUUAUUAUAUAUCAAUCGCCACUUACUAAUUUAUUACUCUACUUCCAUUAUUUAUCAUUAUCAAAACUAAUGAAAAAAUGUUACUAGUGCUCGCUAGCUUUCAUCCGAAAGACACAACAUAUAUAGAUGUGUGUUCUUUUUAUUAGCAGUUCUACCUACGAAGUAACAAAUGCUAAAUCUAUCAUCUAUUCCAUAUAGAACAGGUUCUACGUCAUAUGGAACACAAACUAACCUACACAAUAAUGUUCAGUAUUCAUCGUCUUUAGAUGUGAUCACUGACUUCUUUUUGGAGCUAAUUAACAAACCUGGCCCGCUGGCCGAGUCAUAUUUAGUUUGUAUAAGAUGCAAACAAGAUAUCAAUAAUAGGAAUCUCAAGGUCCCUAGUCUAGCAAAUGGGAAAAAAUUUACUCGUUCGAUCCAAAAGCAUUCUUUGAAAUAAAUACAAAAGAAAAUGUAAGUUUAGGGUCCAUGUUUGGUCAACAAUCACAUCCGUGACACGCAAGCCUGAAUAACAUUGAGACUAGAGACAAAAUCACCCGAAUGAUAAGAAAUACAUGCAUCCAUUAUUCGGAUAGUUUCAGGAUAUAUGGGAAUCCAUGGAAAGUUCAGUUUUAAUGGGUCCGGUUNNNNNNNNNNNNNNNNNNNNNNNNNNNNNNNNNNNNNNNNNNNNNNNNNNNNNNNNNNNNNNNNNNNNNNNNNNNNNNNNNNNNNNNNNNNNNNNNNNNNNNNNNNNNNNNNNNNNNNNNNNNNNNNNNNNNNNNNNNNNNNNNNNNNNNNNNNNNNNNNNNNNNNNNNNNNNNNNNNNNNNNNNNNNNNNNNNNNNNNNNNNNNNNNNNNNNNNNNNNNNNNNNNNNNNNNNNNNNNNNNNNNNNNNNNNNNNNNNNNNNNNNNNNNNNNNNNNNNNNNNNNNNNNNNNNNNNNNNNNNNNNNNNNNNNNNNNNNNNNNNNNNNNNNNNNNNNNNNNNNNNNNNNNNNNNNNNNNNNNNNNNNNNNNNNNNNNNNNNNNNNNNNNNNNNNNNNNNNNNNNNNNNNNNNNNNNNNNNNNNNNNNNNNNNNNNNNNNNNNNNNNNNNNNNNNNNNNNNNNNNNNNNNNNNNNNNNNNNNNNNNNNNNNNNNNNNNNNNNNNNNNNNNNNNNNNNNNNNNNNNNNNNNNNNNNNNNNNNNNNNNNNNNNNNNNNNNNNNNNNNNNNNNNNNNNNNNNNNNNNNNNNNNNNNNNNNNNNNNNNNNNNNNNNNNNNNNNNNNNNNNNNNNNNNNNNNNNNNNNNNNNNNNNNNNNNNNNNNNNNNNNNNNNNNNNNNNNNNNNNNNNNNNNNNNNNNNNNNNNNNNNNNNNNNNNNNNNNNNNNNNNNNNNNNNNNNNNNNNNNNNNNNNNNNNNNNNNNNNNNNNNNNNNNNNNNNNNNNNNNNNNNNNNNNNNNNNNNNNNNNNNNNNNNNNNNNNNNNNNNNNNNNNNNNNNNNNNNNNNNNNNNNNNNNNNNNNNNNNNNNNNNNNNNNNNNNNNNNNNNNNNNNNNNNNNNNNNNNNNNNNNNNNNNNNNNNNNNNNNNNNNNNNNNNNNNNNNNNNNNNNNNNNNNNNNNNNNNNNNNNNNNNNNNNNNNNNNNNNNNNNNNNNNNNNNNNNNNNNNNNNNNNNNNNNNNNNNNNNNNNNNNNNNNNNNNNNNNNNNNNNNNNNNNNNNNNNNNNNNNNNNNNNNNNNNNNNNNNNNNNNNNNNNNNNNNNNNNNNNNNNNNNNNNNNNNNNNNNNNNNNNNNNNNNNNNNNNNNNNNNNNNNNNNNNNNNNNNNNNNNNCAAAAUGAAGAUUUCCUAUAAUACAGAUUCUUACAAAAUUUCCCAGACUCUAUGAGCCACAUACUCCAUAGCAAUAAGCUAUAAUCCUCAGAAACAUAUAUAAAUGUGUAUAUAUAUGGUCUAAACAAAGAUAUUUCCCAAAUUUUCCACAAGGAACAUAUACGACUAAAACAAGUCCUAUCUCAGUCUCUUAAUCCGAGCCGUUGACUAGCAAGAUCACAUCUGACGUUACCAGCAAAGCCAACCCUUGACUUGGCAAGAUCAAACUCCAUCCACACGUUCUGCUGAUGAUGGUGACCUAUGACAAAUGCUUCUAUUCCCAAAAGAUCGGAGUUUCCAAAUGUGAAGCAAUACACAUCAUCUUUUCCUUCUGAUCCGACUCCGUUUACCCGGUACAGCAGUUUCUGACCCGACACACUCAUUUCCGCUCCACGGAACAUUAAGCUAACUACUGGUAAACCGGAGAAAUUGGGCCGUGUUGAAGACCCAACCCGAAAACAGAGGUCCAUGGUCCCUUGGAACACAAAGUUCGGGUCGUCCACCAGUUUGAGAACCGACUUGGUUUGCGCUAUAAACUCGUUUUUUAAGGCCGUGUAAACCGGACCCAUUAGGAACGUAAACUGUGUUCCCGAAUCUACCAUUGUCUGACCGGCUCCGGUAUGGUCCGGUACAUAUACUGAUUUUGGUAAAGAAAGUAUCUUCGACCCGACCCGGAUUCCUUCUAACUGAACCGUGUAGGCAACCCGGUCAAAAUACGGUAACGGCGUGGAUUGGAGUACCAAAGGCGUGUAUUGGAUUGGACCGAGCCAGGAGUAGGACGCGUCACCGAGAAGCAAUAUACCGGAGGAAUCUGAACCGGAGAUGCAAUACGAGAAUUUUGAGAAACCGAGCUGGUUUACAAACGAUAAAGAUCCCCGGUUCAUACCCAUUAAACCGGUCGAUUUAGCGUCCUCUUCUGUAUCGGAGCUUAAACCUGAGUCCAUACAACCGAACAACGUACCGGGUCGGGUCACAGACCCGAUAAUGAACGUGUCGCGAGCUAAGUUGCCUUCGAUUGAUGUAGCGUCGGCGUAAGAGAUAGCUACGUGGCAGAGAUGGGUCUUCCGAUCGCAUGAGGCGGGUAUGGGUAAAUCCCGGGUCCGGGUCCUGCAUAUUGGUGAGGAGCAAGGUACAGGGGAGUACGUAGAUGAUGAAACCGGGUCAAACACGGAUCCCAAGUUUGGAGAUUUCUUGCAGUGAAGCCAUGAGAGCUCGCUUCCUGUGUCAAGAACCAUCGAUAUUUUUUGCGGUGGAGAGCCGACGGCGAGUGUGACGGUGAGAGUAACAUUAUGUCUGAAGGAAAGCUUGUCUGAUGAAGAUUGAGGAAGCUUCUGUGUUUUGAGAGAGAAGAUGAGUGGUUGGUUUGGAGAAGAUGUUUUACAGAACGUUAGAGGGAAAAUGAGAAGUAGAAUUGAGAUUGGAAGAAACAGAGUUGGAGAUGAUGACGACGAAGCCAUCAUUAUAAGUCUGUCUAGAGACUCCUUUGUUACAUACAUACUUGACGUCUUUAAAUAUUGUCACUUUUUUUUUUUUCUUUCUUUCUUGUUUUCUUAAUUACGGAUACUUUCCGGUUCGUUUCGGUUUAGUCGAAUCAUGCCAAGCGAACAUACUUUGAAUUUUAGGUGAAAAAACAUGAGUUAACUUGUAAGCAAUAAUUCUAGUAGCUAGUCAAAUCAAAGACCAAAAUUACUAUUCAGAAGACAUACAAUUUUGUCACGACCUAACAAAAGAUCAUUUCAAGAAGAUCAUCAAGGUUUUAUUUUUGUGUUGUCGAAUUCAUUUGAAUGUGUGUUUUAGGGUUUGGAGAGAGGCAAGUCUCGAGACAAAUAAAAAUGAUUCAAAAGACAAGUGAGGAGUGAGUGGAGGAGUAGGUCUUUUUGGCCGUGUCUUCUGUUUAGUCUCUGUAGUUCACAUCAACUUUGUUUUCCUACUUUCUUUUCUUCGUGUUCCCACUUUCUCCGGGAUCUUAACAUUUUUUUUUUUUAAUUUUUCUUUCUGUUUCAGGAAGAUUUGUUUUUAUUUUCUAAGUGAUAUCGUGUAAAGUAUUAUUAGUCAAAUUCAAUAAUCCACCUCCACGAGUAAAAAAAGAGAAGGAUGGGUUGGAGAUUAGAGUUUGAAUGAUUGUUCUUUAUGUUUUUGAAUGAUGCUAUUAAUCUUUUUAGACCAAUCUAUAUUUUCCCAAAGUUGUUACACUUACAGUAAGUAUGAUUAUGAUACUGAUUUGGUGAUUUGACAAAAAGUAACUCCCGAAUAAUAUAACUCACGACCGACAUAAUCCAUCUUACAUUUUGCAAUCUUUUUGUCUUACUUUAUGACUUCUUGCUUAUAGUAAUACUGUAAAUAGUAUUUUGUUACCGAGUAAAUAUGCCGUCCAAAUUGCUACGUACAAAUCAAAAGGGACCGCCAAAAGGUUAGAAGUUAUAAAAUUAGUUUUUAACAUAAGAAAUGUUGUAGUUGUGUCUUGUUUUGUCCUGUCAUGUUUCCAAUUCCAUAUGAGUUUGAAACACAUUUGUUUCUUUAUAUUAUCUCUUUCAUUUCCGUCCCACGUUACUAAUCACCUAACAUACAAGACAUUCGUAUAUGAAACAUAUAAAUGGUGCAUUUGUAUAAGAUCCUUAUUUUAAAAAUGAUAUUUGAAUAUAAAAAAGUGCUUCCAAAAGUUUAAGAUAGGUCGUAACCUCACAGUAGUAACACGUCAAACCGAGUCCUGCUUGCGUUCUAGUAUAUUUAAGGUAAACGCAAGUUGAAUUGUCUAUUGUAAUUUUGCGAAGUUUGUCAAAGUUGGCGAAAGGUGGUGAUGAAAUCGACAAAAAGGUUUGUUAAAUGUGUGCUGGAGGCAACCCAUUCCUAAGUCGUUCUCAAUGCUCACCAACUCCUUCCUGUUGUAUUACCAAAUAACUCCUUUUUCUUUCAACCAAGCACCAACAAAUAUAUUUUGGUCUUAGGACAAUGCGUCUCAACCAAUAAAAUUAUAGGGUAACAGCUACAAGGUCUCAUUUUAGUGGUCAAAACCACACUUAAUCACAAUGAAGCGCUUGACAAAUUCGUCAAAAUGUACGUAACUGAGAAAAGCAGUAGAUUAAAUGAGUUAAGCCAUACAAAUUAAUUUCAAUCAUAUAAUAUGCAUUGUUAUGUAAUAACAUCAUUGAACAGUCCAUCAUAUUGAUGAUAUAAGUUUAGAUUUUGGGGAUCACCCGUGAACCGGAAUGGGAUACCAAAAAAUAAUUACGUAGUUUGUAAAGUUCCAUUUACAAGGCAUAAUAAACGAUAAAAUACUAGAGUAUUAUGACAGCCUUUGUUGAAAAACUGAUGCGGCCUCGAGCAUUAAUUGUUGGGAAUGUUAUUCUCAGGAGUGAUUGGAUGUGAUCUAUGGACCAAACCAAUCUCGAGAAUGUUUCUUUAUCAUCUUUGUGUAUUUCACACUAUUAUCAGUCCCGCCCACUUGCAAACACGAAAUAGACAAACGGGUAUAUGCCGCCCCUCCUACAAUUUCUAUACAGCAUUUUGGCGUUAUCACGUUCGUGGAAAAAACAACACCAAAGAAAAACUUAAAAACGAAUUUGAAGAAGUAAAGUCCAAUUUAGAAUUAAUGCGUUAUUUGUAUUCUAACGUAUUUUUUCGUGGCAAAUACAGACGACCAUUGUGUAUGGGGACCCCAAUCUUUCUGUUUGUAGUAUUAUGGUCUAAAAGAGAUUGAAGUGAAUAAUCCAAUAGUUGAUUAUGAGUGUGAAAGUGAUUGAAGCAAAUCAGCGAGUUACGAGUCUAUGUGAACUUCUUUGACCCGUUUACAUCACUUGGCUCCUCAUAGCUAAUUAUAAAAUUAAAAUAUUAAAUCACCGAGUUUUUCCUUGGUGAUAUGCGUAUGUGUUAAUACAUGUGUGGUUUUAAAGUUUCCUAGUGAUACAACCAUAUGAGGGCCACGACCAUAACAUGAAAUAUGGAUCUAUGUAUGGGUGAAUGGUUGAAAAUAACCAAAAAGUAAAAGUAACACUGGUGAAUAAACAUGUCUACUCCAAAAUUGGGUCAGUGACAUAGUGUAGUGUUUAACUACCUUUAUAACAUGCUUUGGAAAACUGUAUUAUCAAAAAAUUUGUCGCAUAUUUACUAUAACACAGUCGAAGUUUUAUCAUGGAAUUUUAUUAUAACAAAUAGGAUAUACAGUUCUAUAAUUUUUUUUUUAAAAGAAGAAGAACUGCCUAUCUUAAAGACAAGUGUUUGUAUUUCGUUGAUGUGCUAAUAUUUAAAUUUUAUUCUCAAUGGUGUAUAUAGGCCUUAUACUGGGUGUUAAACAGACCAUGACUAAUAUAGUGUUGGGCUUAGAGUCACAAUAUCUAAGAAUGUUAAUAUUACACAAGGCCUCCCUCAGGAGAGAUGUGUUUACUUACUUAAUGAUAAUAGCAUAAUGUACAAGUAUAUUGGUGAUGAUAAUCUACGUUGAUACUAUCUGGACUUCCACUAUGUUAAGUUUAUGAUAAUAAACUUAUGGUCAUGAUGACUCCAUGAGCAUUACAAGACAGAAUCUAUCUUUUACUGGUGUUUAUUAACAGAGAUACUGUAUGCUUAACAUUUUUUGUCUUAAAGCAAUCGAUUUUCAAAGACGAAACUUUGAAACAAAAAAACGCUAAGCAUUCGAGUCAGCAAGUGUUGAUAAAUGGUUUUAUGUUUGACGACCCAAAAAUAUAGGAAACAAAAUUCAGUUUCAUUACUGUGAUAACAGUAAGAUUGCAUUUGACAUAGGAAACAAAACAGGGCAGCAUACACAAAACCUAAUAAUGAAAAAUAAUGGCUACAUUACAAAGCCUGUCUCCAAUAAACGACAGCAUCAUCAGAUGCGUUGUAUUAAAAACUCUAUUAUUGCUUUUUUCUCUCUUCACGUUUGCUGUAGUUAUUGACCUCACCUCACUCAUCAAACUAAAUUGGUCGCUUUAUGAGAGAUUCUUCUAUAGCCUCUAGGUAUAUUAUGUAUUAUUGGUUUGUUGUGCUGCAGUUCGAAGGUUAUAGCUGUACAGUUUAGGUAACAUAAUUCUCUUUAGGUGUGAACAAUAAUAAAACCAUCAACUUAAAUAGGUAAAUUAAUGGAAACCUUAGCUUUGACAACUCUACUAUAUCCUAAACUGUAAGACACCACUACUAAAUAUCGAGUGGUGUAAGUACGUGUACUCACUGACUGAAACCCAUAUUCUUAGUAAGUAACACACACACACACUACAAAUACUCAAAACUGGAGAAAAUCUACUGUAUUACAUAUACUCAGGAAUGACUCAAAAUUAUCGAUUCAAAAAAAAAAACGAUUGUGAUGGGUAAAAAUUAUUAAGCUACUUAACAUUUGUAUCACAAUCCAUGAUCUCACGUAACGAUUUCUACGAAUAGAACAACUAUGAAUCUUCUUCAAUUCAUCUACAAUCCCAAGUAUCUAUGAACUCUGAAUAUUCAAGAACCAUUUCAACUACAACUUAAAAAGACUAUGUCACCUAAACUUUUGUAUCAAUUUACUCGCAUAGAUUCAAAUUUUGGGAAAGAAUAUAAUCAUUACACUGAAAUAAACAAAAACUUAUUAAGGAACAAACGAAAUUUUUUAAACAGAAGAGUGUGUUCUUCUUUCGUGUUUUUUUUUUUAGUUUUACCUGAGAGAGGUCCGGGAACGAUAACUCUACUAAUCAGGCUAGCCAAUUUCGUCUCCUUGACGAAGACGAUGACGUAUUAAACAGAGAGAACGACCUCGUCCUACGGGUAACCCGAAUUCUCGACCCAGACCCGGACGAUGCUGCAGCAGCAAUGGAUCCAGAUGACCCGCUAAAACAUCCAAAAAGCCUCAUGAUCCGACCCGCGAACCCGCCACCUCUCUCUCUACUACUCCCAUCUCUUCCUCCUCUCCUCGAACCCCAAGCUACUCUUCUCGGAAGUCUCUCAUCGCCGAGUCUACCACCGUCAACCUCCGUGUAAACAACCGGCAUCAUUCUAUCUCCUCCUCUCCAACCACCGGGGAUUCUCCCUACAGCGAAUCCUCCACCUGGUAACCUCCAAAUCGUUAACCCCGCAGCAGAGUCUUCCUCUUCCUCCGCGGAAGCAGUAACAGUCAAAGCACCACCGGUGCUUCCAUCACUAAUAUCCUCCGCCGGCGGCAGCUCGUGACGGCAAACCGGACAAGAGUUUCGUAUCGCAAGCCAAGGAAGGAUACAAUCAGGAUGAUAGAUGUGAUUACAGGGCAUCUCACGAGCGGACGAUUUCAAAACAAAAUUCUCUUUACAAACAGCGCAGUGAGAUUGAGAAUCAGACUGGAGAUGAUUGGGAUCGAUUUCAAUGAGAGGCAAAGCUUCAAUGGCCGAUUUAGAAGCCGGCGGAUGCUCACAAGAACGAUUGUUACGAUUGGUGUUAAGCUCGAUCUGAGAGAUCUGAUCUAACAAGCGAUCGAAUCCAGAACCUAGCAAAAACUCAGUCAUACUCGGUGGUAAAGGUCUAAGACCAGAAUCAGUACCAUCAUCGUAAUACAUCUGAAAAGCAGACCGAUCUAAACCUUCGGAGACAUCAGAAGGACCACCAGAUCCACGGAGAACAAUAACCGGAUUAGGAGAUCGAUUGCUCCGAGUACGAGUCACGCUGGUGGGAGUGGGACUGUUCUCGGCGGUGGAAGCGUGCAUAGAUGAAGAAGAGGGAAGAGGGAAGCGAGUGGGGCUGCGAUGUUGACUAGUAGUGGUGACACGGUGGAAUGAAUCGGAAGGUGUGAAAUCCAGAGAUUCCUGGAUGUGUUCGAGGAAACCACCGUCGCAAUCAGGGCAAGAGAUUGAAUCGGAAACCCAAACGAAUCGGCUACAGCUGUAACACCAGUAAGAUCCAGAAGCCAUGGGAAUAGGGAUCUAAAAGGGGGAGGGGGAGAGAAACCAAAUCAAAUCAAAUCUUCAGGAAGAAGAAGAAGAUAACAACAUCUGGGAUUUUGAUUGACUAAAUUUGAGGUUUUCUGAUAGAGGAGGGAGGAGGAGGAGGAGAAGAAGGAGGAGAGGGAGAGAGAAUGAAGGAUUUGUGUUAAACAAAAAGAUUACAGAAUUGGCUUAUACCCAACCGUCCAUUUCGUGUGCUGUCUUCUUCUCUUUUUUNNNNNNNNNNNNNNNNNNNNNNNNNNNNNNNNNNNNNNNNNNNNNNNNNNNNNNNNNNNNNNNNNNNNNNNNNNNNNNNNNNNNNNNNNNNNNNNNNNNNNNNNNNNNNNNNNNNNNNNNNNNNNNNNNNNNNNNNNNNNNNNNNNNNNNNNNNNNNNNNNNNNNNNNNNNNNNNNNNNNNNNNNNNNNNNNNNNNNNNNNNNNNNNNNNNNNNNNNNNNNNNNNNNNNNNNNNNNNNNNNNNNNNNNNNNNNNNNNNNNNNNNNNNNNNNNNNNNNNNNNNNNNNNNNNNNNNNNNNNNNNNNNNNNNNNNNNNNNNNNNNNNNNNNNNNNNNNNNNNNNNNNNNNNNNNNNNNNNNNNNNNNNNNNNNNNNNNNNNNNNNNNNNNNNNNNNNNNNNNNNNNNNNNNNNNNNNNNNNNNNNNNNNNNNNNNNNNNNNNNNNNNNNNNNNNNNNNNNNNNNNNNNNUUAAAUAAUGUAUUAAGGGUCAUUUAUAGUUUAUAUUCUAUUAAUUAAUGGUACUAUAGAAUCAAAAUUAAUGUAGGAAGAUUUUAUUUGAUGAAAAAGUGUUGGAAUAUUGACCUCAUCUCUCUAUUGUUCUUGAUUUGUUUGUCAUACUCUCAAAAUCUUAAGAACACUUAGAGAGAUUGGCUCUUGUGUAUGUCUCCGAUGUAAAUUAACUUGCUUAGGUUUUUGAUGAGCCACUUAUUAAGAUCUCUUUCUCAUUAAUCUUAUGAUGAGUCUUCUCUUACAACAUUACAACAUAAAAAUACACUACAACACUAUUUAUACUAAUGCUUUAUCAUUAACCUAUACUUGCUACUUUUUUUUUUUGGCAUCACCUAUACUUACUACUAAAAACUCUAGAACCCAUUUUACAUAUAUGGGCUUUAACACCUGAUGGCCCAACAACUUCAUUUGACUUUUCUUCUUCUUCCUCCUCCUUCACGACACAACACCUCUCUACUUCUCUUUCUUUCGAUUCUCCUUCUUCUUACAUCUUCUCACUCCUCAGUUUGUUUCUCUUAGGAUUAAGCAAUAAACCAACUUCCAACAAAAAGCCCAUUAGAGUCGAUAAAUAGAAGCCCAGUAGAGCCCAGGUAAAUAUUGUAAAUUCGCCUCUAUAUUCAAUUGAUCCGUGUCCGAAUGAGGAUCCCAGAGUUUGUUUCUUCUUCCAUUUCUCGUUCUUUCGAUUUUGGGAAAUUUACAGGUACGCUUGCUCUUCUCUUUCGUCGUGCAUCUCUCUGUUCCAAAAUCUUCUACUCGUAGAUGAGAAUUUUUCUCGUAAUCUCUAGUUGUAAUCUGGGUAAAAAUAUUAUAUUCUAUUUUGGGAAAUGAAAUUAGGCCAGUUCUGUGGAAUAUUGGUGUGCUGAAACAGCCUGGAGGUCUCGUUUAAUAAGAUGUUGUAACAUUACAUAGAUUUUUCCAGUAUAUUUAUUUAGUAGUUCUCUGAGUUUUGAGUUAUUAACAACUGAUGGUAUUGAAAAAUCCUUGUUGGUCACAAUUUUGAUUAUACAGUAUCUUUGUUUCUUAAUCUAUUUUGCUUACUCACUAGAUCUCGCACUGUAGUAUUGGUUCAGUUUCCAACAAUUGCUUGGUGUCUCUCAGGUUCUAUAACAGCGUUGCACCUAGUUUAAUCACCAUCGGAGGCCAACAUUUGUUUGUUUUGCUUGAAGAACCUCGUCUCUUUGUUUGUCUUAUGCCUUUUGCUCAUCGCCAUGCUUACUUUUUUUUCUAUUGUUAAGCUGCUACUAUAUGUUUCUUGAUUUCUUUUUGCGACAAUGUUAUCUUAUCACUGUGCUUCUUUAGCUUAAUUGUUUGUUCUCUGCUUUGAAAGUGUAGUUCUUUUUUCUUUUGAUCAAGCUUUGAAAGUCUGUAGUUCAUGACAACUAAUGAGCUUGUUUCGGUUUUGGUCUUUGUUAAAGAGUGAAAAAAAUGGGAGCUGCGAAACUUUCCGGCAUGCAAAAGCAAGUCCUGAGUCUCUACAGAGGAUUUCUAAGAGCAGCUCGUUCAAAGCCAACAGAAGACAGGAAGAGAAUAGAGUCAAUCGUGUCAACUGAAUUCCGCCACAACUCUAAGGAGGUCGACCGUAAGAAUUUCCAGUACAUCGAGUAUUUGCUUCGGUUAGGUACUAAACAACUCGAUCAACUCAAAAGCCCCGACAUUGUUAGCCUCUCCUCGGUGAAGGUCGUUGCAUCUAAAACCUGAUAUUUUUGCUCUCAGCCUUAGGCUCUAGUGAAUUAUAGUUGAAAAAGACAGGAAACUGAUUCGUUUUCCUCAAAUCUUAACAUUGAUUUUAUAUAUGUAUGAUGAUGCCUGAACUGCCAUGGAUGUUUAAGAGCCAUUAUAUAAUAAAUUGUGAUCACAUGGCGUCUUGGAUUAUAUAUCUAAACAAAAGUUAUGUGCAUCUACUAAUACUUCUCAAGUUAAAAGUAUGGAGAUUACAAACACUGCAACAUGAGAAGAGUUCUAUCAGAUUUCUUCUUUGUAGAAUACUAGUCAAUAAUGUUUUGGUUGAUACAUGUUUUUUGUCAAUGCUCUUGCUUUCUUCGUUAUCUCAUUCGUUUUGUCUAUUUCAAAUUGAUUUGGUUCAUAUCCUAAAUCUUUGAACUCUUGGCUAGGAAGAAGAAAUGUAGUUUAUGAUAAGGCAGUUUUAAAUUAUCAAUGUGUUGCACAUGAUCAUAGAAAAAAAAAAGAAGAAAAGAGGACAAGACCCAAUCCACAAUUACACGAAGGGGAAUAUAAAAAAAGACCCAAAAGAGAGAAUAGGAGUAAAACAGCGAAUCAAUAAGUAGGAGAAUACUCAAAAGUUGUAGACACAGGUUCCAUCGUCGCUUCUAGCCGUUGGAUCAAAGUUUUGAGCCUCAGGAUCAGUACAUCCUUCAGGAACAGGCAGGCUUACUUGCUGGGCAGCUUUACCUGCAAGUCAAGAAAGUUUAACUUCAGAAACCUUAAUUCCUAUUUUCAUCUCCUCCUCUUUUACAGUUUCAUAUCCAAUUUGAUUCAGGCAGUUGGCUAACCAAACCAAAAAGAAAAAAAAAAAGGAGUUCAGACCUCGUCUUUACCGUAGAAAGUUCCGCGGUCGAUGGCGUCAGCGUUUGCAUCUCCCAAGGCAGCCUGGCUGAGGUAGGUGUCGGCAAGUUGGACUCUCUUGACAUUCUCUUGUUCCAUGACAAGCAUGUUUCCAUACUCCAAAAGCUUUUCAAGAGUCAUCUCGGGUUGCUUGAACACGGGAGGUCCUUCCCUUGAGUUCACCAGCCUCUUUCCGAUCUUCUCAACUCCAAGUCCCUCAACAAACUUCCUCACUUCAUCAUCGUACACUCUCGCCCUCAAAGCACCGAAGAAAUCUGUCCAUAUUAUAUAAUGAAUUAGGAUCUGCACAAGUUCCUAUAUACAGUAUAUACCAGAUUGGGUUAGCCAGAAUCUUUCUUACCGAUGGAUUGACCAGGGAACUGAUCAACAAGGGUGACAAUGUCUUCGUCCUUGAUGUUGUCGGUCUUGAAGAUACCAAUGCAGACACCAAUACGGUCUUCACGGGUAGGUGCCCAGUAGAACUUCUCCAUACGUCCGUCACGGAUGAGAGGAGCGUAAAGGGUGGAGAAAUCGUUACCAGUGACAAUGAUGGGGACACGUGCGUUCUCUUCCUUGUUGUACAUUCCUGGGAGCUGGACGUUGGUUGGGGCAUCAGCAAUGUUCAUGAGUGUUGCGUUGACCAUCUGGUUGUUGACAGUGUACUGAGUAGUACCACCCAUACGACCCGCACCAGCGUCAAGAUCGUUGAUGAAUAGACAACACAUCUUUCCCUUCUUGAUCAUGUCAGCUGCCUCACGGUACCUCUGACGGAUAAGCUUGGCUGGUUCUCCUGCGUUUCCACUCUCAAGCUCUCCAGCACUCAUCAUGAUUGGGCUGCAAAACGUUUUUUAAACUUUUUUAGAUUUUGUCCAUGAGAACAAAACGAUAAAUGGGUCAGGUUUUGGGAAUUGGACUCACUUGAUACCCAUCUUGGCCAUGACAAGCUCACACUGGAAGGAUUUACCUUGACCUUUGCCUCCCCAGAUACCCAAAAUAAGUGGAACCUUUGAAAAAAAACAAAGCAUUUCAAGAUCAGUAAAAUUAUGUAAUAACUCAAAAUUGCACCCAAAUGAAAAAAAAGUCUAACUAAAUACCUUAAUGUUAGGCAAGUUCAAGAAGUUCUUGGUGAUGUGAACAACAAGCUUGUCCAUGAAAGCUGGAGCAAUGUAAAACCCAUCCAUCAUGUUGUCAAGGUUGUACCUAUAUUCCGACAAGGAAAGACGAUUUAAAACCAAGAUGCUAUUAUCUGUAAUGAACUAAUGAGAAAUCUAGAGAGAUGAAAACUCACUGCCUAAGGCCUUGGCUAAUGUACUCAUGUGAGCUAAGGACAGCGUGGUGAGUUCCGGUUCCCAUAGGAGCUUGGAAGACAGAGUCAACCAUACCCUUGCCUCUGGUAAUGUCUUGUUGAUCAUCAGACAUGUCGUAGGCAAGACCCUUCCAUCUGUCUCCAUCGGUUUGUUUGUCUUCUUUCACGGCCAACACCUUGAAUGAGCCGUUGCUCUUCUUGUUGGUCUGUGCGAAUCUCGACACAG
rnacentral:lncRNA from 1 species